rnacentral:lncRNA from 1 species
AACUUUAGGUCUUUAAUAUACGUCUUGCUCUUCUUAAUACAUUGUUAAUCGUUGUAUCACUGUUUUAGGAUAUGUCGAUUGAAUUAGUGCUCUCUUUCUGUUCUUUUUCGUAGUUUUCAAUUACACUUGGGUAUAUGUCUGAUUUUGGUUCAUGUGUGCUUUUAAAUUAUGAGUGAAGGAAUGGUUAUUCUUCUUUCUUUUUUUUCUGCUCUUGAAGCAACCUUCGUCUCCACAUAAUGAUUUUUUUUGUUUGGCUCUUGAAGCAACCUUCCUCUCUUAUCUAACGAGGUUUAUCUCAACUUUUUGUGUUUUGCGGAUUAAGCUAUGAGUUUCUCUAGGUAGUUGCUGUUGUUUUUUUUUUCUUUAUGGUUCGCUGCUAAUAUAUUGAGUAGUUAAUUAGCAGUUUUUCACCUUUUGUUCGUUGUUUAUUGUAGUUUUUAUGUUCAUUUAGUGAUUGAUGGGAGGUUUGUUCAUGGUUAUGCUCUUCUAGGUUGCUUUCUCUGUUUGGAAUAUGCGUCUGGUUUGUCAAAAACUAAUUAAUCACUCCGAUGAUAAAUGAAUCUACACAUAAUUGUUUCGUUGAGUAUCAUACGAAGUGUUCACUCUAGCUACCAAUGCUAAAUGCUCACAAGAAUGUGAAAAAGAUAGUAAUAUGACACAAGACAAAUGUAAAUAACGCUAAUUAAUCAAACAAAUAAAAUAAACUUAAACAUCUUAACAUCAUGAUCAAAUCUAAAACAUCCUUACUUCUGAUAUGAUCGUGACCAGCUCAGAGGAGGAGGAACCAGAGGUAGCUGGCAGGAUCACUCGUUCCAGAGCUAGAGAGAUGGCUAAGGAGGCUCACGCACUCAUUGCCACAGAGGACAGCGAUCACCAGGAGGCUGGAGCUCACAUCUUCAACAUCUCUAUCUUGAAGAAUGAAGAACCCAGUAACAAUGACUAGGUAACUUAGGUGAUGAUUCUGUACUCUUUUCCUUGGUGAGGAUUUUGGAAGGCAAGGAGGUUCUUCUCCAAGGUUUUUAACGAGGCAGAAAUCAUUGCUACGUCGAGUUACUUAGAAGUUGUUACUAAUGGGUAAUAAUGUGCAAAGUCACAAUGACUUGUGCACUUAGUAUCUUGGCGCACCACUUAGGAAUUUAGGGACGCCUCGCUGUUUUAUUUUUUUAAAUCAAACUUCUUGUUGUUUUUAUUUCAGACUUCAUGUAGUUUGUUUCUUAGGGCUGCGAUUUCUCUCUAAGUCUAUUUAAGAGAGAAAAUCGCCUAUGUCAUAUUCAGUGAAGAAUUUUGAUCAAACUUUUAACGUGUUCUUCUCUCUUUUUGAUUUCUGAGAACUAAAAACUCUGAAAUUCGAAUCUCUUAAAAACUAAUCUGUUUACAAGAGAUUCUUCUAUCUUAUCAUCCCACCAUCAUCACCAUCGAUCUGCCGAGCCACCAUCAUCUCCAUCGAUCCGCCACACCACCAUCGCACAUCCACGAUUCGAUCUGCCGAGUCUCCACCAUCAUCCCUCAUCGUCGCGAGCCAUCCUCGUAUCACUACCACUAUCCUUUUCGCUUCAUCGUUUCAGUCUAUCCACCAUAUCGCCGCAUCCAUUGUUCUUUGCUUCAGAGUAGAUCACCUUGGAUCGUAUCACGUGGUAUCAGAGCCAACUCUGAACCAAAGGCUGAGCGAAACUCUAACCCUAAUCUCUGUGCUUUGAAUUUUCGUCUCUGUGAUAUUAGGGUUAGCGAGUUUUGUGACUGUGUGCAUCGAUUUGAUUCCUUUUGUUUCAUAUCAUCGCAUCGUUCCCUCUUGUUUUGUGUUUAGGAUCGAUCGCUGUUAGGAUUCCUGUUAGAUCGUAUUCGUCUCAAGUUUAUUUCGAGUCUGAUUGUUUUUCGAGUCUGCUCAUUCAUUGUUUUCGUUCGGAUCGAUACGAGUCUGCGUGUAGUCGUGUUCUUAGGGUUUGUUAAGAGUCUGCGCGACUUCGUUAGGUUUGUUAGGGUUUCGUGAUCUCGUAACUCGUUUGUUAGUGUGUUAGGGAUUCGUUAGUCUUCGAUUUUUGUUGUUAGGCCUCGUUUUUCAUCGUUUUUUUUUCGUGUAGGCUUGUUAGGAAAUCUUUUUUUGUGAUUUCUGUUAAGUUUAGUAAAAAAAAAAAAAAAAAAAAAAAAAAAAAAAAAAUUUCGUUAAAUUUCAUUAGUUUCGUUAAGUUUGUUUUUAGAUUUCGUGGGGAUCUUUUAAUUUUUUUUUAUGAUGCGUUUAGUUUUGCUGUUUUUGUGAUUCCUUCUAGAACAAGUUACUGCGAGUUUUUUUAAAAUUUUCAGGUACCAUGGAGCUUUCGGCUGAGGCGAUGGAAGCUCUGAACCGAGCAAUGUCUCAACAAAUUAAAGAAGCAAAUCAGGCCAUAGCAACUCAGCUCACACAACAAAUCGAACAACUCAAUGACAAGUUCGAGACGAAGAUGACUGAUCUGCUCAAAGACCUCAGCGCAAGUGGAGAAGAGUCGUCUCAAACUCCAACUCCUUCGGAAGCAAUGCGCUUAGCAAAGGGUAAAGGGCACAUAGGAUCUUCCCGAAAACUUCCACGCCACCCAACACCUUUCGAAGCCAGGACUAAAGCUAAGUCCAGUCGAAGCCAGAUUGGGGGCAGAGAGACUACGUUUAAUCCGAGGAGGAAUCUUACUGGUGCAGAACGAGAUGGCCCAAGGGUAGAUCGUCAGCACCGCCGAGAGGAAUAUAUUGCUGGGCAUCGAGUUACCCUGGAAUCAGACCCAGAAUACUAUGAGGAGGACGAAGCUUCUGAUCAUAGCAGAGAAACUGUGAGACGAGAUCGAGGCCGAGGACAUGGUCGAGAUUAUGAUCCUCUACGACAGCAGCUGCGUCAUAUCAAAAUCCAGUAUCCUCCUUUCCAUGGAACUAAUGAUCCCGAAGCUUAUUUAGAUUGGGAAAGGAAGAUGGAGUCUAAUUUUCUGGUCCAAGGAACUUACGAGCUCAACAAGGUGAAGAUUGCAGUCUCGGAAUUUCAUGGGUAUGCGCUUCUAUGGUGGGAGCAGUUGGGAGUCACCAGAAAUCGCUUGAGGGAACUUCCGAUUACUACUUGGGAGCAGCUCGUUAUACAGAUGAGGAAGCGGUUCGUUCCGGCCCAUCAUCAGCGCGAGAUACUCAACAAGCUUAGGCGCCUUGUCCAAGGUACGAAGUCUGUUCGAGAUUAUUAUCAAGAAUUGGAAACUUUGCUCAUUCGUGCAGAUUUACGAGAAGACGAAGAGAUGGUAAUGUCGAGAUUUCUUGGAGGACUUAACCGAGAAAUUCAAGACAAGGUGGAACUUCAGGAUUUCGCAGAUAUACAAGAGAUGGUGCAUAAGGCUGAAUUGGUGGAAUCUCAAGUCAAGAGGCAAAAUUUCAAGUCCACAUUCACGCCUAGUGUGCCUAAGCCUAAGGAGAUCAGCAAGCCAGCUUACUCCAGAGACAUCAAACCGCCAUCUACUGGAGUUAAAGAAGAAACUAAAGCUGAGUUCAAGCCUCGAGGUGGCACUUCUAUCAGCAAUGUGAGGUGUUUCAAAUGUCAAGGAAUGGGACAUUACUCUCGAGAUUGCCCAAACAAGAAGGUUUUCUUGUUACAUGAGGGAGGAGAGAUAGUUCCUCAAGAGGAUUCAGAGGCCGAAUAUGAAUUAGAGGAAGAGGAAGAAGCUGCUGCUGUGGGCGAGAUGCUGGUUGCCAGAAGGACUUUGAGUGUUCAGAGUCAACCUGAAGAGACUUGUCAGCGAGAGAACCUGUUCUAUACGAGAUGCUUCAUUCAUGGAAAAGUUUGUAGCCUGAUCAUAGAUGGAGGAAGUUGUACUAAUGCUGCAAGCGAAGAGAUGGUUAAGAAGCUCCAGCUCAAGACUAUUCCUCAUCCAAGGCCGUAUAAGCUUCAGUGGUUGAAUGACAGUGGAGCCUUGACCGUAUCUCAGCAAGUGAUGGUUUCUCUAUCCAUUGGGAAGUAUGAAGAUGAGAUUCUAUGUGACGUCAUUCCCAUGGGUUCGAGUCAUGUGUUGCUAGGCAGACCGUGGCAAUCAGAUCGUAGGGUGAUACACGACGGUUACACCAACAAGCACUCAUUCGAGUUCAAAGGUCGCAAAAUUACCCUCCUACCUCUCACGCCUACCGAGAUUUAUCAAGAUCAAGUUCAAAUGAAGCUCAAGGAGAAGGAGAAAGUCGCCAACAGCCUCUACAUAAACCACAGUGAAUUUUCUAAACUCUUUGAUCCUGAAAUGACUACUUUUAUGUUUGUGUACAAGGAAUCCCUUGUUAGUACUAACCCUUCACAGGAGCUUCCUAGUGCUAUGUUUGAGAUUUUGCAGGAAUACAAGGACGUUUUUCCAGUAGAAAUUCCACCAGGGCUACCUCCAAUUCGCGGGAUUGAGCAUCAGAUUGACUUGGUACCAGGAUCAGCCUUACCUAACAGGCCAGCAUACCGAACCAACCCUGUAGAGACUAAGGAGCUUCAAAAGCAAGUGGAGGAGCUGAUGAGCAAAGGCCAUAUCCGAGAAAGCUUGAGUCCCUGUGCGGUUCCAGUUCUGUUGGUGCCAAAGAAGGAUGGUUCCUGGAGGAUGUGUGUAGACUGCCGAGCUAUCAACAACAUCACUGUGAAGUAUCGGCAUCCGAUCCCAAGGCUAGAUGAUAUGUUGGAUGAGCUCUGUGGGUCGACAAUCUUCUCUAAGAUCGACUUGAAGAGUGGAUAUCAUCAGAUCAGAAUGAAGGAAGGGGAUGAGUGGAAGACGGCAUUCAAGACAAAGCAGGGACUCUACGAGUGGCUAGUUAUGCCGUUUGGCCUCACCAAUGCUCCCAGCACCUUCAUGAGACUAAUGAACCAUGCCCUGAGACCAUUCAUUAGCGUGUUCGUAGUGGUUUAUUUUGACGAUAUCCUCAUCUACAGUAAAGGUUUGGAAGAACAUCUAGAUCACAUCAGAUCGGUUCUUGAUGUUCUUCGCUCUCAAUCUCUCUUUGCUAAUUUAUCUAAAUGUUCAUUCUGCACUAACGAGAUUGUUUUCUUAGGCUUUGUAGUAAGUGCAGGAGGAGUUAAAGUAGAUGAAGAGAAGAUAAAAGCUAUCAAGGAGUGGCCAACCCCCAAGAAUAUUGGAGAAGUCCGAAGUUUCCAUGGCUUAGCAGGAUUCUACAGGCGUUUUGUUCGUGAUUUCAGCACCAUAGCCGCGCCUUUAACCGAAGUAAUCAAGAAAGACGUGGGGUUCAAGUGGGGAGAGGCGCAAGAACAGGCUUUUACAGCCCUUAAAGAGAAGCUUAUCAAUUCGCCCUUACUAGUACUUCCUGAUUUUACUAAGACUUUUGAGAUUGAAUGCGAUGCUUCUGGUGUAGGUAUUGGAGCAGUUCUUAUGCAGGAUAAGAAGCCCGUCGCUUACUUCAGCGAAAAGUUAGGAGGAUCAACGCUGAAUUAUCCCACGUAUGAUAAGGAGUUAUACGCAUUGGUUCGAGCUCUCCAGACGUGGCAGCAUUACCUAUGGCCUAAGGAAUUCGUCAUUCAUACCGAUCACGAGUCCUUAAAGCACCUCAAGGGUCAGCAGAAGCUUAACAAAAGACAUGGGCGAUGGAUGGAGUUCAUUGAGACAUUCCCCUACAUUGUUAAGUACAAAAAAGGUAAAGAUAAUGUGGUCUCAGACGCAUUAUCCCGGAGGUACACUCUUGUUUCGACUUUAACAUCAAAGUUGAUUGGAUUUGAGCAUAUUAUAGAUCUUUAUGAAUCUGAUACUGACUUUUCUGAGAGCUAUGCCAAAUGUCAUAAGUUUGCCUGUGAGAAAUUUUAUAGACAGGAUGGAUACUUGUUCUUCAGUAACCGAUUGUGCAUACCACGAGGAUCCAUUCGAGAGUUAUUGGUACGAGAAGCUCAUGGAGGUGGAUUAGCUGGACAUUUUGGUGUUACAAAGACACUUCUUGGACUACAAGAGCACUUCUACUGGCCGAACAUGAAGAAGGACGUUGAGAAAAUCUGCUCUAGAUGUGUCGUAUGUAAGAUGGCUAAGAGUAAAGUUCAACCUCACGGUUUGUAUACUCCUUUGCCUAUUCCUUCUCAACCUUGGACUAAUAUCUCUAUGGAUUUUGUAGUUGGCUUACCUCGCACCAGAAAUGGUAGAGAUUCUAUUUUUGUAGUUGUUGACAGGUUUAGCAAGAUGGCUCACUUCAUCGCUAGCCACAAGACAGAUGAUGCUGUGAAUGUAGCUAACUUGUUUUUCAGGGAAGUAGUACGACUGCAUGGAAUGCCACAGGUUAUCGUUUCAGAUCGAGACACGAAGUUCUUAGGACACUUUUGGCGAACGCUUUGGGCUAAGCUGGGAACAAAGCUCUCAUUCUCAACUACGUGUCAUCCUCAGACCGAUGGACAGACCGAGGUGGUGAAUAGAACGUUGUCCACACUUCUAAGGACUUUGGUGAAAAGUAACCUCAAGACAUGGGAAGAGUGCCUGCCUCAUGUCGAGUUUGCUUACAAUCACGCUAAGCAUUCUGCUACUCUCUUUUCUCCUUUUGAAAUUGUAUAUGGGUUUAAUCCACAAUCACCUCUAGACUUGAUCCCUUUGCCUUUAAGUGGAAAAUUCAGUUUGAAUGGCAAGGAGAAAGCUGAACAGGUCAGAAGAAUUCAUGCUAAGGCUAAGGAGAAUAUCGAGAAAAAGACAAAGCAGUAUGAGAAGCAUGCCAACAAAGGACGAAAGGAACUGAUUUUCGAAGAAGGAGAUCUGGUGUGGAUCCAUCUGAGGAAGGAGCGAUUUCCAGCUGAGCGAAAGAACAAGCUAAUGCCCAGAGUUGAUGGACCAUUCACAGUCAUCAAAAGAAUCAACAACAACGCCUAUCAGAUUGAUCUUCAAGGUAAGUAUGAUGUUUCUGAUACGUUCAAUGUUUCUGACUUGCUUCCUUUUGUUGCAGAUUCAGGUUUGAGGGCAAAUCCUUUUCAAGAGGGAGAGGAUGAUAUGAUCGUGACCAGCUCAGAGGAGGAGGAACCAGAGGUAGCUGGCAGGAUCACUCGUUCCAGAGCUAGAGAGAUGGCUAAGGAGGCUCACGCACUCAUUGCCACAGAGGACAGCGAUCACCAGGAGGCUGGAGCUCACAUCUUCAACAUCUCUAUCUUGAAGAAUGAAGAACCCAGUAACAAUGACUAGGUAACUUAGGUGAUGAUUCUGUACUCUUUUCCUUGGUGAGAAUUUUGGAAGGCAAGGAGGUUCUUCUCCAAGGUUUUUAACGAGGCAGAAAUCAUUGCUACGUCGAGUUACUUAGAAGUUGUUACUAAUGGGUAAUAAUGUGCAAAGUCACAAUGACUUGUGCACUUAGUAUUUUGGCGCACCACUUAGGAAUUUAGGGACGCCUCGCUGUUUUAUUUUUUUUAAAUCAAACUUCUUGUUGUUUUUAUUUCAGACUUCAUGUAGUUUGUUUCUUAGGGCUGCGAUUUCUCUCUAAGUCUAUUUAAGAGAGAAAAUCGCCUAUAUCAUAUUCAGUGAAGAAUUUUGAUCAAACUUUUAACGUGUUCUUCUCUCUUUUUGAUUUCUGAGAACUAAAAACUCUGAAAUUCGAAUCUCUUAAAAACUAAUCUGUUUACAAGAGAUUCUUCUAUCUUAUCAUCCCACCAUCAUCACCAUCGAUCCGCCGAGCCACCAUCAUCUCCAUCGAUCCGCCACACCACCAUCGCACAUCCACGAUUCGAUCUGCCGAGUCUCCACCAUCAUCCCUCAUCGUCGCGAGCCAUCCUCGUAUCACUACCACUAUCCUUUUCGCUUCAUCGUUUCAGUCUAUCCACCAUAUCGCCGCAUCCAUUGUUCUUUGCUUCAGAGUAGAUCACCUUGGAUCGUAUCAACUUCUAUCUAACAAAUGAAACAUUACCAUAUGCCUUAUGUUGUUAGCUUGUGUUAUGACCUCCGAUCGGACUCUGAUCCUUAACGUUAUAUACUUAUAUAUAUGGUUCUGUCCGACUUAUAAGCACUACAUAUAUGAUUCCCAGGAAUAACUCAUGGAAUCAGGGUUUCAGUUGUGCCAAAACAAAUAAAGCUCCACACAAAUUUCUAUAAAGACCAGGAACACACAUGUUCAGUGAAAGAGAACAGAAAAUGCCAUAUAUAAGAUCAUUUACGUAAAAAUACUGAUCACGCCAUCGUUGGAACAGAGCACUAGAGAUAAAUAUUGCACAUCCAAAACCAUUAGCUGAUAGUAUCUUGGACAUUCAGACUACAUGACCACGAGAUAACAACAUAAGAAACAAUUAGAAAACAAAACUAAGAGUAGGGAAUAGGAAUAAAAACAGAGUUUGUUCCCUUGGAAGAAGAAGUAUGAUUGAAGAGUAUAUUAAACAACACUCGAGAUUUGUUAAAAGCUUGCUUUUUAAGAUGAAACUAUAGUACCAAAAAAAAAAAAAAAGGAGAAACGGAGUGAAGAAAAUCUGGAAGCAAAGCAGGAAAAUUGUGGUUCUGAUCCAAUUUUCUGAAAACAACUCUUCAGGUCCUCCUCUUGAUUCUAAUGAGUAUUUGACAUUAUUGACUCACUACAAGAGGCAAGAAAAACCUGUCAUAAUAAGGUUCAUGUAAAUGUACUUAACAGAGAAGAAAACAAUGAGUGGUGGAACCAAAGAAGCAUAGUGUUUUAGUCCAUGAAGAUGGAGAAGAACAGAGCUCCAGUGUGAUGGUUAUUAGAGGAAGAAGAUAUUGGUGAAAGAUUGAAACAGAGAAAAUUUGCAACCAUGGGCAUAAAUUGAAACUGGAGGCACAUAUUACCAAAGUGGAGAAGAGUUUGGCAAAAUUAAUUUCUAAAUUUGGGGAGUUAUAACAUGGCUUUAAAAGUACGAUGAAUACCAAAUAAAAAAUAGACAAUACAAUUAAACGAUAAAGAAGAAUACAAAAAAUGAUAAAAAACAAAAAAACAAUCGAGUUUGUCUUAGUUGAUUUGGCUUAUGAGUUUUACUACACUUUUUCAUUGGUUUCAUACACUUAUUUUAUGGUUUUUUGAGUAUUUAAUUUUGGAUGAUGUUUUAAUUAAUUUUAUUUCAAUUAGCUAUGUCUCAAGUGGUUAUUUUAAUUCUCUUUCGUUUCUAACAUAAAAUUUUGUUUUAUGUUUAUCAAACUCUUCCACCCGCGCAAGGCGCGGACUAAACACCUAGUUUGAUAUUUAAAAUGACACAAUCGUUUUACCAAAAUUUUGUACGUAUAAGAAAUGAUAAAAAAGCAUUUACUUGUAAAAUUUUAAAAUUAUAUACUAGAAAAAGAAACCCGCGUGUACACGCAGGUGAUCAUCUAAUAGUUAUAAAAAAUAGCAUAUAUGUAUGUAUUUCCCACUCGUAGACAAUUAUUUACCGAUAUUGCGUAGUGAGAAAAAUAAUACUUAUACUAUUGUCUAUGUCUGGUGUUGAAGAGAUUUUCCAAUAAUCUAUUACAAAAAAUAAAUCUAUAUACAUGUUCAUUUGAGUUAAAACUAUGAAAACUAAUCAAGAAUUCAACAAAACCAGGAUUCUUUCUAGUAAUGAUGAAACUUAUUUCAAAUAAAAAGAGUAUAAAUACAUGUAAUCUCAGCUNNNNNNNNNNNNNNNNNNNNNNNNNNNNNNNNNNNNNNNNNNNNNNNNNNNNNNNNNNNNNNNNNNNNNNNNNNNNNNNNNNNNNNNNNNNNNNNNNNNNNNNNNNNNNNNNNNNNNNNNNNNNNNNNNNNNNNNNNNNNNNNNNNNNNNNNNNNNNNNNNNNNNNNNNNNNNNNNNNNNNNNNNNNNNNNNNNNNNNNNNNNNNNNNNNNNNNNNNNNNNNNNNNNNNNNNNNNNNNNNNNNNNNNNNNNNNNNNNNNNNNNNNNNNNNNNNNNNNNNNNNNNNNNNNNNNNNNNNNNNNNNNNNNACGACACCCAAAUCCAAGAAUGGUCUUUUGAUUGCUUUAUCUGUAUUGUUGUUGUUGCUGCUGCUUAAGUCAACAACCAACAACAUCCACUCCAAUUCUCAACCAUCCACCUGUGUUGGAUUUAGAAGAGGAACCAACCAACCACUUAUAUCCAUGCUGCUCCUGGUGUCUUCCACAGAGAUGUGAAACCACAUAACCUUUUGGUAAGUUGAUCUUAUUGUGGGUUUGUCUUGGGUAACCAUUACUAGAUUGUAAUCCAUUUCUCUGGUGCGUUCUGUAGGUUGAUCCCCUCACUCAUCAGUGUAAGCUGUGUGAUUUUGGAAGUGCAAAAGUAUUGGUAAGGGUUUACCUUAUUUAUAUUUUUUUAUUUAUUUUUCCACUGCUUAUGUGUUCGGUCUCAUGAAAUCAAUUGCACCUUAUUUGUUUUCAUGAUCUUUGCAACAUGUGACUAUUGACUUUAGGUGAAAGGUGAACCAAAUAUAUCAUAUAUCUGCUCUCGGUAUUACCGAGCUCUAGAACUCAUCUUUGGGGCCACAGAGUAUACAUCCUCCAUAGAUAUAUUGUCAGCUGGUUUUGUUUUGGCAUAGCUCCUUCUUGGUCAGGUUAGUGUAAACUAAUUUAUCCAUUAAGUAUCUUGAGAACUAAAGCAUCUCUCCAAUAUCUUUGACAAUCAUUUGAUAUUUCUUUAUCUUCAGCCGAUAUUCCCCGGAGAAAAUUCUGUGGACCAGCUAGUGGAGAUCAUCAAGGUGAAGUCUCAUAUUGAUUAGAGUUUACCUUGGUGUCAUUAUAGAAAAAAAUCCUAUAAUCUAAUAGAUUGAUCAUUUUGAUUAAAAUCUCGUUCUGUUUAGGUUCUUGGUACUCCAACUCGAGAAGAAAUCCGAUGCAUGAAUCCAAACUACACAGACUUUAGAUUCCCACAAAUCAAAGCUCACCCGUGGCAUAAGGUAAUUUAUAUGCAUGUUACGUUCUAACUUUUCUGAUCAUUCAGAGAAAAAAAGAAAAGCUGAAACAAUACAUAUACUACUUUAUGACCUCCAGGUUUUCCAGAAGCUGAUGCCUCCAGAAGCCAUUGACCUCGCAUCUCGGCUUCUUCAAUAUUCACCGAGCAUACGUUGCACUGCAGUCAGUAUCUCUACACGACCAAGUAUUCUUAGUUGUUAGAGUUGUUCUCUCUGUUUGGACCUGUACUGUUCAAUGAUGCUGAGGCUUUUUAACUGACAUGUAUGUUAUGUUUCCAUGUCUAAAAGCUCGAAGCAUGUGCUCAUCCAUUUUUCAAUGAACUACAUGAGCCCAAUGCUCGUCUUCCAAACGGCCGACCUCUACCACCGUUGUUCAACUUCAAACAAGAGGUACGUUUGUCCAAUCUCUUUAAAACAAACAUUCUUAAACCAAACCAUAACUGCUGUUAAGUUCAAACAGUUUCUUAAUCUGGUAUCUCUUUCUCUCUGCUUGAAUGUUCAAACAGUUAUCUGGAGCUUCCUCAGAGCUUGUAAACAGGCUAGUACCAGAUCACGUUAGGCGACAGAUGAGUGGAGGCUUUCCAUUUCAAGCUGCUCCGUAGAAACGACUUCGAAACCAAGAUGUUUUGUUCUGGGUAGAAAUCCCAUCAAGCAUUUGCUUGGGCACUAGAAUUUCAAUUAUUUUAGGGGCCAUUUUGUAUAAAUAUGAGUUGGUUAAGAUGGUGCAGUGGUCUAUGAAAAAUGUGUUUAUUUGUCAUUGUAUUUGGCAUAUUUUAUUUUUAAUCAACAUUAUAUCAUAGAAUUAGUUAUUCUUAAACAACUUAAAACAGAACAAAGGAAAUAAAAACUACAUCAUCCUGUUUACAUCUACUAUUCAAAAUGAAGAAAAUAACCUAUAAAUUCUUAGGUCUUUGGGGGUUAUUGGGUGCACGUUUUCUAAUUUGGGUAACAACUGAUAGCAUUUACAAAUUUUUCAAGAAAAGUUAAGUGAAAUCAAUUUUUGAAUUGGGAAAAAACUUUUAAAAAAUCUCAAAAAGAAAGAAAAUAUUUAUAAAAAACAGCAUAUAUGUAUUUCCACUUGUAGACGAUUCUUUACCAAUCUUGCAUGAUGGAAAAAUUACUACUCAUAUUUUUGUGUAUGUUUGGUGUUGAAGAGAUUCUAUUACAAAAGAUAAACUUAUUUUUACGGAAGAAAAUUUAAGAAAAAAAAUCUAUAUAUACAUUGUUCACUCGAGCUAAAACUAUGGAAAUAAUGAAGAAUUCAAUAAAAUCAGGAUUCUUUCUAGUAAUGAUGAAACUUAUUACAAAUAAGAAAGAUUACAAUUACAAGUAAUCCCAGCUUACAAUGAACCUGCUCACUACUUAGCAAAAAAAACUUUUUCCAACAAUGUUUUCUAUUAUAGUUGGAUUUAUUCCCCUAUCUGGUUAACCCCUUUACUUCAUUGUGACUUUGUAUAUUCUUCACUUUUUGGUCAAUAUAUAUGCUUCUUAUACAAUUACAUGUAAUCCCAGUUUCCCACUCCGAAACCAAACUUCCCCACAUCAAGCCAGCAAUCUGAAAUAUAAACCAUCAUAGACAUAAACCUUAGAGCUAAAACUGUUCUCAUACUUAAACCUCUAAUCACCCUUAUCUCAAUAUCAUGGUAUCUCCACGUGUCUUCAUCAUCCUCGUAAUUACCUGAGACGAUAAUGUUGGUGGCUCUCAGUUCAUCUCCUGUGUAAGCCCACCGAGCACAGUUCAUGACGGUAAAAGAACACGUCGCCGAUCUCAACACAAGGGAUUGAACCCACUAAGUAUUUACCCUGGGUUUGAGAUCAGCGACGUGUUCUUUUAUCGUCAUGAACUGUGCUCUCAGACUGGGCUUACACAGCCAGCUACAACGUAGUUCCAAAGGUGAACCGAUACCCCCCCCCCCAUCAUUGUCGUCUCAGGUAAUUUGAGGAUGAUGAAGACGUACGUGGCUUGUUACAUUAGUCCCAGAAAAGAACCAAAUGUGAUGGCACAUUUGGAGCUACGGAAACUACUCAGUUACAGAUGGUGAGCUUCACGUUCAGUUCAUCGGCGACCCAUAGUCCAGGCUUAGCUCCGAUAACAAGGGAACAUCAAAAGAAAAAAAAAACUUGAUGUUCAUUAUCGGACUAAGCCUGGAUUAUGGGUCAGUAGAUGAACUGAACGGGAAGCUUGCCAUCUAUAACUGAGUAGUUUCCUUGUUUCUAUAUUUUUCUUUAUGUCUUUACCGAUAUGGCUCUCCUAUAUGCUUUAUCUUGAGGUAAUUUCUCAAAUAAAUGUUCUUUCUACAUCUCUUUAUCAUAGGAGUCUCAUUGUCUGUACCAAUUGCAUGCUCACAUGCUAAAGUCUUUACUAUAUUUGAGUAUUUACGAAGUUUGUUUGAUUGCUAAAUUAAACCAAUCACAUUCAGGGAAGAAUUAAGGUUGAUUCCAUUUUCUAAACCAGACCCAUUUAUUGUGAUAGAUAAAUACAUAUUUGGUAAGUUACAAACAAAAGAAAUGAAAAUUGCCCAAAGAAAAAAAGGAAAAAGAAAUGAAAUAUCUAUCACACAAAAACUCAAGCGAAAUUUGAUCGUGUGUGAUCGAACUAACAUCUUUUUAUUUUAUCUAUCACGAUAUCUUUUUUGUUCGUCAUUCAUUUUAAUUUCUAGGCUGAGCUCAAAAUUUCUCGAAAAAAUUGUUGUAACAUUAUGGAGGCAGAAGCAACAACUCUUCUUUGGAUCAUGACAUGCUUGGAUGAUCUUGGCUAUGAAGAGGUAAUUUUCGAGAGUGAUUCAAAGAUAUUGGUGAAAGCGGUAGCUGAACCUCGAGAAUGGUCAAGAUUUAUAGUCUAUACCAGAGAAAUCAACAAUACAAGAAAUAUAUUAUUUCGACCAACCAUCACUUUCCAAGCAAGAGAAAAGCCAACCAAUGUGUUGAUCUUACAGCCAAUAAAACCUCUUCAUAUGAAGUACUCUUUUGUUGAGAAGGAGAAACGAAUUUAUAUGAAAUAUGUUUGAGCUCGAAAAAACAAGAAAUAUAUGGCUUUAUGUUAAAAUGAUGAUAACUCUCCUAAAUUAACAACAACAAACCAAAAAAAAUGGGUGAUAAUCCUCGAUUACUAGUUUCGAUUCUAUACUAUUACAUUUCGGUUAUAUUCUCAUUUUCAAUCAACUUUCCAUUAUAUUAUAACAUGUUGACGUCAUAAAGAAAUUAUAACAUGAUAUAUAGUGAAAUACAAACGAUAGAGCUAUUAAAGUGGCAUAAUAAGAUGAUGCAAGAUCUGAUCCGAUACUACAGCAAAUAGAUAUUUGUCACUGGCUGGUCAUACUUUUUACCAUAAUAAUAAAAAGACUGUGCAUACAUUGUGCUUGGGUAUGCCUAGAUAUUCUAAGCAAAUCGGUCAUAAAUACAAAUACGUUCUGAAAAGGUACCUAAGAGAUAUUUAGCAACCUCCUCCACCACCACAACCUCUUCCUCCACCACACCCGCCUCUACCGCCAGACGCUUAUGGUCCAGCAUAUGGUCUAGCUCCAGUAUAUAUUGAUCCAUCUUUCGUCUCAUUUUUUUUAGAUUCUUUUUCACCGGUGCAAACAAAUACGGCCAUGGCUAUUACGGAUAAGGUGGCUGCAACCGCCAAUAUCCCCCAAACUAAACCAAAGCCACUGGUUCUAACGUCGCUCAAUAUGCUUCUCACCAUAUUCUCUUGUGUAUAUUUUGGUUAAGUUUGAGAUUUUGGAUUCGGUUUUGGGUAGGGAUUUAUAUAUGCUUUUUAGAUGUGAGAAAUAAAAAGCAUUAUUUGUAGAUAAUUUUUUGAAUGGACAAUGUUGGCUUACCGCUUACGUCACGUGUGUCGGUGUGUGGUUACGUAAGAGUAAUAUGUAAAAAUCUACAAGUUUCUCUGAUGUCAUAUAAGAAAAUUUCUUGGUUUAUAUGAGGUGGCUACUUUUCAACAUGCUUUAACAUUUGGUUCAAUAUAAGUGAUGCUCUUAUGAUAAGGUCUCUCUGGCUACUUUUCAACGUGCUUUAACAUUUGGUUCAAUAUUGAGGGAUGCUUAAAAGUCUUAUGAUAAGGUCCCUGAACUUUAGUACGUGGAUGGUCGUAAUCCAUACCUUGGAAUAUUUUGCUUACUAAUUCAUUAUUUGUCUUUUGAAAAUUUGAAACAAAUUUAUAUUAGAUUCUGAAAUUACUUGAUAUUUUUAUGUAAGACCUUUGUGGAACCAAUCCAUUUAUUUUGGGAGGUUGAUACAAUUGUUGUAGGAAGUAAAUUUAGAGGAGACAAAUAUUGCAAUGUAAGAAACCGAUUUGAGAUACAGAAAAACGUUUUGAAAGCGGAUUAAGGAAAAACGAGAAGUGGAGGCGAGAUGAUCUCUUUCCUUAAUUCAAAAUAUCUCCCGCAGUGUGGCGGUUGGAUGAGAUAAAGAAUCCCAGGAUACAACCACUAGUAUUUGUAUAAUCGCAGCACCCGAUUAUAGAAUGUGACGAACUGAUAUUCUACGAUAUACUCUCGGACACUUACUCUUGAAAGAAGAAAGGAGACGCGAGAGAUUUGAAGGAAAAGUGUGAAUGAUUUUUCUCUGUAAAUUUUCUGUAGAGAGCGAUCAAAAUUGGAAGAGGAAAAGUCGAUAUAUGUAGCGAAGGAGAGAGGAUCGUCGCACUUAAUCAGCGUGUUAAUGACGAGAUUAAUUUUGUGCUAAUGACGCGAUUUGGGCGUUAAUCUUGGCGUGAUUUUCAGGAGAGACAUUUGACUGCAGUUUAAUGUCGUGAUUCUGUUAAGAAUUUGAACCGAAAACUUUAGCAAUUUGGGCCAGAAAUGUUGACCAAAACGAGGCCCAAAAAGAACAUCUUUUGUGGGCCGAAGGCCCACAUUCACCAAGACCCAAGACCCAAGACCCAAGACCCAAGACCCAAGACCCAAGCACUACAAGAAAGAGGGGCUUUUCCGUCGAAUUAUUUACGACGAUUUGUAGUCGUCGUAAAUUUACGACGACAUUACGUCGUUUUUACGACGAUCAAAAAUUUUGUCGUAAAUUCGACGUAAAAAAUAACCCUUGUAAAAUCGUCGUAAUGUUACGACGAAUAAAGAACGAAUUUUAUUUCGUCGUAAUCUUGUCGUAAUAUUUACAUCGAUAAUACGACGAAUUGUCCUCUAUCUUGUAGUUGACGUAAAAUCAAUGUAAAUGUGAUGUAAAUUUUAUUUCGACGUAAAUUUGAUGUAAAUAUGCAAUGGUAAUAUGUUGGUAACCAAACAAAAAAUUCUAUAUAUACCCUUUCUUCUCUCAUUAUUCCAUCAUCCCAAAAAAACAUAUAAAAACACAAAUUUUUUGAGUCUUUGAAUGUUUAAGUAAAAUUUUUAGUAGUUGAAAUUUCUAUCAAAUUUCAGAAACAAAAAGUCAAAUAUUUGUUUUUGAAAUGUCUAUAUACGAUCUACGAAAGUGGAUGUAUACGCCCAAAAAUAGUGAUGGGUCGUUGACUGAAGACUUCAAAAACGGAUUGGAAAUAUUCAUGUACCAAGCCGGCCUUCUGGAAACUGUAAUUGAAAGCGGCAAAAUGUAUUGUCCUUGUGUGAAAUGCAAAAUAGGAAACAUAUUCUUAUUGACACUGUCUGGCAGCAUUUAUUGAAUAGAGGGUUCAUGCCUCAAUACUUUAUUUGGUAUCAGCAUGGAGAGGGAUAUGGUCAAAGUAGUGGUCAGAUGGCUGCACGGAGUAGUAGUAAUCAUCAAGAACAUGUGGAUUUUGAAGCGUCCAAUGAUUAUCAAAGUAGUCAAGUUCAGGGUGAAGAUCAUGAUAGGAUGCAUGAAAUGAUUACUGAUGCAUUUCAUGAAACACAUGCUGAUACUGUUGAGGAGCCCAAUGCAGAUGCGAAACGCUUUUAUGAUAUGUUAAACGCAGCAAAACAGCCUUUGUACGAGGGAUGUAGGGAAGGUUUAUCAAAAUUAUCAUUGGCAGCUCGGAUGAUGACAAUAAAAACAGAUCACAAUCUAUCUGAAGUUUGCAUGAACGAUUGGGCAGAUCUUAUUAAAGAGUAUUUGCCAGAUGAUAAUUUGGCUGCUGAAACGUAUUAUGAAAUUCAGAAGCUGGUUUUUAGUCUUGGAUUGCCUUCUGAGAUGAUUGAUGUUUGUGUUGAUAAUUGUAUGCUUUUUUGGAGAGAUGAUGAGAAGCUUGAAGAAUGUCGUUUCUGCCAAAAGCCAAGAUAUAGACCGCAAAUUGCUGGGCGUAAGAAGAUUCCUUACCAACGAAUGUGGUAUCUUCCUAUCACUGAUAGGUUAAAAAGACUAUAUCAAUCCGAACGGACAGCUGCGUCGAUGAGAUGGCAUGCGGAACAUUCACAAAAAGAUGGCAAAAUGACUCACCCGUCUGACGGGAAAUCUUGGAAACAUUUUAACACCGUACAUCCAGACUUUGCUAGGUCUAAGCGAAAUGUUUAUCUUGGUCUUUGCACUGACGGGUUUAGUCCAUUUGGUAUGUCUGGUAGGCAAUAUUCAUUAUGGCCUGUGAUUCUUACGCCAUAUAACCUUCCUCCAGAUAUGUGCAUGGAAAGAGAGUUUUUGUUUCUAAGUAUAUUAGUCCCUGGUCCAAAUCACACGAAGCGGGCCCUUGAUGUUUUUUUGCAACCACUCAUACAUGAGUUAAACCAGUUGUGGCAUGUUGGAGUACGAACAUAUGACUGUUCGAGUGGUAAAAAUUUUACGAUGCGAGCGGUGCUUAUGUGGACAAUAAGCGAUUUCCCGGCAUACGAAAUGCUAUCAGGUUGGACAACGCAUGGGAGGUUAUCAUGUCCUUAUUGUCUUCAUAGGACUGAUGCAUUUCAGCUUAAACAUGGUAGGAAAACCUGUUGGUUUGAUUGCCACCGUCGGGUUUUACUACGACGAAUUUACGACGAAUGGGAGUGAUCGUCGUAAAUUCGUCGUAAUAUACCAUCGAAAAUACGACGAAAUGUAAUCCCUAAAUCUUAUAAUCAAUCUUUUAUGGGGUUCAGAGGGGAUUUUGAUGAGGAGAAUGAAAUGGCUUACCAUCUCAUAAGGUAAAACAACUUUCUAAACAAAAAAAAAAAAAUUCAAAAUUUGACAUAUAUGUCUUUAUCAAGUAAUCUUAAGGUGUUAUAUACAUUUACACAAGAUGUAUGGAUUUAUCUUACAUCUUACUAAAUUCUUCAUUAAGUUAUGUAAACAUGCUAGAAAUUUAUACAGACCACAUUUAUCAUGAAUAGACAUGCUUGUAUGUGCUUAUGGAUGUUUCAAUUUUUGAAUUUCAUCAGUUUUGGUAUAAUUCGUCGUAAAUUCGUCGUAAUGUUACGACGAAUUUACGACGAUUUGUGGAUACACAGCCGUCUUAAUUUUUUUGAUUUAUAAGAUUCGUCGUAAAAUCGUCGUAACAUUACGACGAUUUUACGACGAAUAGCACGGAUCAUCGUAAACUCGUCGCAAAGCCCAGAUACAGCCACGUGUGUUUGUCUUACUCGCUUUGUUGUACGGUGGGACCUUUGCGACGAAUUUACGACGGAAUUCGUCGUAAUGUUUACGUCGAAUUUACGACGAAUAUAAAUUCUAUAUAUAGGACCUCACCCCUUCCUCAUUUCGUCGCUUAUCUCUCCUUCCUCUCUCUCUGCUUCCUCCUUGCCACCUCCUCCUUUUGACGCAAAAAAAAAGGUGAAUAAUUUUUUUUAAUUACUUAAAAUUAUAAUAAUUUUAAAUAGUUUAGAAAUUCAAACGGUUUAGGUCGGGAAUUAGUUUAGGCUCGGAAUUUGUUAGAUUUAGGAUCGGAAUUUGUUAGAUUUAGGAUCGUAAUUAAAAAUUAAUUGUAAUUAAUUUGAAAAAUAAUUUUUUUCGGUUUUGCAGACGAUGACUCGACGGAGGACGCAUUACAUCAAUUUCAUGGCGGACGGACAUUCUUCCCGGGCGUCUGCCUCGGGAAACACCGGGACCGAUGUCCCUUCAUCUUCCGGAGCCUCCCAGGUUCCGAAUACCGCGGAGCCGUCUCCACCACCGCCUCCACCACCACCUCCACCGCCGGCUGUCGAACCGGUACCCGCCCCGGCUGCCGAACCGGUACCCGCCCCUCCUCAUCUGUAUGUCCAGUUUACGAUUGAGGAUUUACUAGCCUUACCGGGACGGGGGGCUUUACGACGUCUGGUUCCCGGAAAAGCGGAACCAGGCUCUUAUUGGUAAGUAAACUUUUUUGUUUUUUUAUAGUUUUUAAAUUAACGCUUUAAUUUACUUAAAUAUUAAUGUAAUAAUUUUUUUUUUUGGUUUCAUAGGUUUACUUUGGAUAAUUGUGUCGGGCGGAGCGUUUCCGACACAAUUAAGAGUCAUUUCGUGGAGCACGUCAAUUGGAGCAAGGUGUCGCAAGAGACGUGCGACACCUGGUACAAGUGCUUCGCGGUAAUAUUUUUAAAAUCUUAUUUAUAUCAUUUUAAAUUGUUUUAAAUUUAAUUAAUCUUACUUUUAUAUUGUUUAUCUAAUUUUUUGUUUUCUUUUGCAGCAACGGUGGAACUGGGACAUCGGGAUCAACGAGACGGUCCGCGAAGCUUUCGAGGAAAAGGCGAAGAAACGCCUAGUCAACACCGUUUCCGAUUGGAAGCGGAAAUGGGAGACCGACGGCGACGACGCAAAGCCGAGCUCCAUGUCCACUUGGUGUUGGAACGGGUUGAAGGCGUAUUGGGUGGACCCGCAUGCCCAAACCACCGCUGCUAAGUGUUCGGCCGUCCGAAACCGGGUCGAUCCGGUGACUGGUGAGAAGUUAGUGAACCCGUACACUUCUGGCCAAAUAUCUUUUACGGGAAGACGUCUCAUGAUGGUAAGUAAUUAAAUAUAAAUUAUUUCAUUAUUAUUUUAAUUUUAUUUAUUGCUAGAAUUAAUUAAAUAUUUUUGACUAAUAAUGUUUAUUAAUUGGUAGGCCGAGGAGAACGGAGGAGAACUACCUCCAAUGACGAAGCUCUUCGAGACCACUCACCGGAAGAAGGACGGGAGCUUUGUCGACGCUCGGUCCGAGGAGAUCUACAAUGCCGCUUGCAGCGGAUCGCCGAGCGGGAGACCCAGGCCACACCUGACGGUACUAUCCAAGUACCGUUGACCGUCGCUGAGCAAGACCAGAUUUUCGAAGAGGUAUGAUAUCUAUUUCAAUUUUUUAAAAAUUUAUUAUAUUUAUAAUUACUUAAUAAAUAAUUAACGUUUUUAUUUUCCAUUUGUAGGUUGCUCCGAAGAAGAAGGGCCGAACCUUAGGGAUGGGCUCUAUUAGAGAUUGUCCUGCCGCCACGGCUUCCGGAUUCCGCACGCAGGAUCCGCAGCUUCGCCAGGAGCUUGCUACGGCCAAUGCUGAGAUCACCAGUCUCAGGCAUGAGCAAAUGGCCCAGAAGCAGGAGCUCACCGAGAUACAUGAUCUCUUCGACAUCAUUGCGGAAGCGGUUCCGCAGUUGGCCACCGCAAUCCGAGCGAGGCAACAGCGAGCACGGAGGGUUUUUGAGACCGGUGGUAAUUCCGGUACUGGACCAUCGGACCACCAGACGCAGGGCGGUCAGUCUUCGGCUCCGGUCUCAGCAGCGACGGGCGGUCAGACUUCGGCUCCGGUAGUGCAUACGGGAAACGUCGGCCUAGCAGCGACGGGCGGCCAAGACGGAGAGCCUCCUCGUGACGUCGAUCUCAACCUCGACGAUUACGACAUCAUUGUAUAGAUUAGGUUUUUUUGUAAAAAACAAUUUGUAUUAAUUUUUUUUAUUUAUAAAUUAUUUUUGAAUUUAAAUUUCAAUUUAAAUUCAAAUUUUUUCUAUUUUUAAUUUUUUGAUUAUUUUAAAAAUUCAUUAAUUAAAUAAAAUCGAAUUAAAUAAUUAAUUUAUAAAUCGACGUAAAUUCGUCGUAAAUUUACGUCGAUUUACCGUCGAAUAUUUAACGACGAAUUUACGACGAAUAAGUUUACGUCGGCUUUACGUCGAAACUUUACGACGAUUUAACAUCGACAAUUAAAAAUUUAGUUUCCCUUAAUUGAAAUUGUUCGUCUCCUAAUCGUUGUUAAAUCGAUGUAAUUUUACAUCGAUUUAACGUUGUUUUUAUGAUGGAGUUCUUUCGUUGUACAUCCGUUGGAAAUUUUACGACGCAUUUACGACGAAUUGUUCCCGACGAUUUUACGACAAUUUUCCGGAGUUGGUAAUUUUACGACGAUUUUACGACGAUUUCGGUUUUACGACGAUCGUUUUACGACGAUUUUUAAUUUGUCGUUAAUCCGACGUAAAUGCUCUUUUACGUCGAUUUUACGUCGAUAUCUGCCGACGUAAAAGCCGAUCUUUCUUGUAGUGAAGACCCAAGACCCAAGACCCAAGACCCGAGCCCGGCUCGGCUCGGCGGCGGCGGCGGCGCGCGAGGGGUCCUUGGUUCUCCUUCACACACUUUGAACUAUGUCAUGUGUGUGUCUAUAUUUAUAUGACUAGAAAAUUUUCCAAUCCUCCAAUGUGGGACAAAAUGAUGUUCCUCACAAUUUAAGUUGCCUUGAAGGGCUUUAUUUUUAUUCACACUUGACCAAAUUUUAAAGCCUUUGGGCUUUGUAAUAAUUUGGGUCCAACAAUCCCCCACAUGAAUAGAAAUAACUCUAGACAUACGACCGGACUGACUCGAAGACUGGACUCGACUAGACUAAACUAAACGGACUUUCGAGAGUAUAAACGAAAAUUCCACUGUGUUUGAGAUAGUAGUAUGUUUCAACCUUGAACCACUCAAUGUUAAUAUCUGUCGGGCUUACUCAGCUAGAAGGUGAACAUGAUGUCUUGAACCACCCGAAUUUUGAUGUAAACCGAGACAACAAAUACAACUCAGUUUCAUUUUCUCGUAGAACUAUGUUCUCUAUUGUGUUCAUUUUGGCCUUGAACUUGCCUGGUUAAUCAUGAGUGAAGUUGGAGAAUAUAGCCUUUUGUUUUUCCAUUCUCAUAGAAACGGCCCCAUUUCACACUCACUAGGUGAUUUGCCAGUAGUCUUUGUUUUAAGAAGUGUUGUACUUCACUGAUAUAUCAAAGCUACGGUCUUCUCAUUAACAGCUUUGCUUAUCCUUUGAAAAUAUACAAUGAAAAUUGUAUGUAAGCACUGUCAAUCAUCUUGGGACCUAGGUUAAGACUAUACGUCUUUCAGUGCUUUAGAUUUUGUUUGAUUUAGUUUUCCCUUUUGAACCAUACAUCUUGAGAUCUCCAGUCAUGUAGGUGGGGUUUCCAUCAAACAACCUCUUUAGUCAUAGGCUUUAAACCCAUUCCCUUUGACGAUUUGAGAACUUGAUCACGAGCUAGACCCUUAGUGAAUGGAUCUGCUAGAUUAUCAGCUGAUUUUAUGUAAUCUAGUGAGAUUACUCCGGUUGUGAUCAAGCUUCUAAUGGAUUUAUGUCGCUUUCUUAUGUGACGAGAUUUACCAUUAUAGAGAUUAUUUAGUGCCCGGGCGAUAGCUGAUUGACUAUCACAGUGUACACGUAUUGCCGGGACUGGUUUCUCCCACAUUGGAAUAUCUUCCAAGAAAUUUCGGAGUCAUUCGGCCUCCUCUGCAGCUUUAUCUAAAGCUAUAAAUUCAGACUCCAUGGUUGAUCGGGCCAGUAGAGUUUGUUUGGAAGACUUCCAAGAGACUGCUGCACCAGCAAGGGUAAAGACAUAUCCACUUGUGGAUUUUGAGUUUUUGGUGUCAGAUAUCCAGUUUGCAUCACUGUAUCCUUCCAAAACUGCGGGUUCUCUCCCAUAGUGCAGCCCAUAACUUUUAGUGUAUCGAAUGUAAUUUAAUACUCUAGUUAUGGCUUUCCAGUGUUUGUGUCCUGGAUUAUUUGUAUAGCGACUAAGUACAUUUACCGCGUGUGCUAGAUCAGGUCUAGUACAAUUGGUUAAGUACAUAAGGCUACCAAUUAUCCUUGCAUACUCGACUUGUGACACUGCUUCACCUGAGUUUUUGGUCAAGUGAAGUUGAGAGUCAACAGGAGUUUUUGCAGUUCCAUUUGAAUAGGUUUUAAACCGUUCAAGUAUCUUUUCAGCAUAAUGUGCUUGAGACAAGGUAAUCCCAUCAGAAGUUCUUGUGAUUUGUACCCCAAGAAUGACAUCUGCUAGACCCAUGUCUUUCAUGUCAAACUGUGCACUAAGCAUAUUCUUAGUUUGUUGGAUUAUGUCAUUAUUGCUGCCAAUAAUUAACAUGUCAUCUACAUAUAAACAUAGUAGGAUAUAUCCAUUAGGGGUCGUUUUUAUGUAAAUGCAUUUAUCACAUUCGUUUAUGCUGAAGCCAUCUGACAUCAUCGCAUUGUCAUAUUUUUCAUGCCAUUGUUUUGGUGCUUGUUUAAGUCCAUACAACGACUUCACAAGUCUACAGACUUUGUGUUCUUGUCCCGGGACUACAAAUCCUUCGGGUUGUUUCAUAUAGAUUUCCUCGUCUAAUUCACCGUUUAGAAAGGCUGUUUUGACGUCCAUCUGGUGGAUUUCCAAAUUUCGUAAGGCUGCAAUUCCAAUCAGCAUUCUGAUGGAAGUUAUUCUCAUUACUGGAGAAUAAGUGUCAAAGAAAUCCAGACCUUCUUUUUGUCGGAAUCCUUGCACUACAAGUCUAGCCUUAUAUUUAUCAACUGAGCCAUCGGUCUUCAAUUUCGUUUUGAAGAUCCAUUUACACCCUAGAGCUUUAAACCCUUCAGGUAACUCAGUGAUUUCAUAAGUAUGAUUCCGUCUAAUGGAAUCCAUCUCACUAUUGACUGCUUCCUCCCAAAGAGGUGCAUCGGGAGUGGACAUAGCUUCAGUAAAUGUUCUUGGUUCGUUUUCGGUGAGAAAGACCAUCAAGAACUCAGGACCGAAGGAUUUUUCCUUACGAGCUCUUUUGCUGCGUCUAGGUUCUAUCUCUUCGUCUUCUGAAGCAGGAACCCCAGAUGUGGUUGCCACAUCUUCCAGAGGACGUUUUAGAUUUUGUCUAUCCUUGCACGGGAAAAUGUGUUCAAAAAAUGAAACAUUUCUUGAUUCCAUUAUUGUAUUCACCUGAAUAUCGGGUACAUCUAAUUUGUGAACCAGAAACCGAUAAGCACUACUGUUGCGUGCAUAUCCAAUGAAAAUACAAUCAACAGUUUUUGGUCCUAUGGUGACCUUUUUAGGUGGUGGCACAGCGACCUUUGCUAAGCACCCCCACACUCUCAUGUAUUUGUACGAAGGUACUCUACCUGUCCAUAGUUCAUAUGGCGUUUUGCCAGUUACUUUGUGCGGUAUUUUGUUGAGGAUAUAGUUUGUAGUGAGAAUUGCUUCCCCCCACAGAUUCUGGGGUAGCCCAGAUUCCUGCAACAUUGCAUUCAUCAUCUCUUUAAGAGUUUGAUUUUUGCGUUCCGCAAUUCCAUUAGAUUCUGGUGAGUAGGGAGCGGUGGUCUGAUGUAUAAUGCCUUUUUCUAGACAGAAAACAUUGAAUGGACCAUCAUAUUCGCCUCCUCUAUCACUCCUAACAAUUUUAAUAGUUUUACCGAGUUGAUUUUCAACUUCGAUUUUAUAUUCUUUGAAUUUCUCCAAGACUUCAUCUUUACUUCUUAGUAAAUAGAUGUAACAGUAUCUUGUACAAUCAUCAAUGAAAGUUACAAAAUACUUCUUACCUCCUCUAGAUUUUACUAACUUUAAGUCGCACAAAUCUGUGUGUAUGAGGCCUAGAGGUUCGGUAGUUCGAUCGACAUGAGGAGAUGGAGUUUUUGUGAGUUUUUGUACGCAUGUCUCACAUUUAUUUUUGCUUAUUUUGCAUUUGGGGAUUAAGUUCGAAUUUAUUAAUCUUUGUAUAGAUUUAUAAUUCACAUGUCCUAAUCGUUCAUGCCAUAAAUCAAAAGACUCAACCAAGUAAGAAGAUUCAUUCUUAUUAAUUGACCUGGUAGAAGGUACAUCAUUUUUGAGGACAGUCAUUACACACAUUUUGAUUAAGUCCUCCUUAACAUAACCCUUCCCAAUAAAAACCCCAUGUUUCCUUAAAAUCAGCUGGUUAGAUCCAAUGCGGACGUCGAAUCCGUGCUUGUUGAUCAUGGUUCCAGAGAUCAGGUUUUUCCUCAUUUUUGGCACAUGCUUCACAUUGGUGAGGGUGACUUCUUUUCCCGAAGUCAUCUUUAAGACCACAUUGCCUAUGCCUUCAAUCUUGGAGUAUGACUCAUUUCCCAUCAACAAGUGCGCAUUGUUCUUGCAUUUCUUGUAGGUUGAGAACUGGUCUUUGUCCAUGCAGAUGUGAGUGGUUGCACCAGUGUCAUACCACCACGUUUUUGGGUUUGGCUCAACCAUGUUGACUUCUGUGACCAUUGCACACAGAUCAGCUUGAGUCAAGUUGGCUUGUCCUUUGUUGUCCCUCAGCCUGCUUCGACAUUCAUUGGAGGUGUGGCCCUUCUUGUUGCAAUAGGUGCACUUCCCAACAAAUUUGGUUUUGGGAGUUUCCUUUUUGAAGGAAGUGGAUGAUGAUGGAGCAAACUUGUUUUGCCUUCCUUUGGGAGGAAAUUUCCCGUUGCCUUUGACUUUCCCUUUUCCCUUGUUCUUGAACUCUGCUACAUUUGCAUUGUAGGAGUGAAAUGGUUCAGGGUUGACAGGCGUGGCAGCUUUUACCUCGCGUUUCAAAGACUCAUUUUGCAGCCUGGAAAUCAGAUUUGACAAGGUCAUAGACUUCUGCUUAUGAUCCAGAUAGUUUCUGAAGUCUGCCCAGCUAGGAGGUAGCUUGUCGACGAAGCAAUUCACUAUGAAGGUUUCACAGAUCUUCAUUCCUUCAUCAGCGAUUUCUUGACAAAUCAUCUGAAGUUCAUGGACUUGUUCCAUGAUGGGCCUUGAGUCCACCAUCAUGUACCUCGUAAAUUUGGAGGUUGCAUACCUUCCAGAGGAUACAUUGAAAGUCUUGUACUUCUUAUCCAAAGCUUCCCAGAGAUCCUUGGACGACUUGAUUUCGCAAUAGACAUUGAACAAUUGGUCAACCAAGCGGCUCUGGAUGUAGCCUUUGCAAAGGAAGUCCCCAUGGACCCAUGCUUCAACGCUUGCAACAGCACGCACAUCAGUAUUCCCAGUGGGCAAAGCAGGUUUGUCCUCGGUGAGAUACCUAUCCAAAUGCAGAGUGCACAGGAAAAAGUGCAUCUUUUGCUGCCACUGUUUGAAGUUGGUACCAUCAAACUUAUCCGGUGAGAUACCUGCAGCAAUAGCGCUGGGUAAAUUCGGAAUGUUUGUGGGUAGGGAUCCGAGUGCUGCACCUCCAACCGCUAAGGGUGUUGAUUCAGCGACAUCCUCUUGUCUUCCAUCAACGGAUUUCUCCACAUUUUUCGACAUCUGUUCCAAACGAGACAGGAAAAAAAAUGUCAGAUUCGUUGAAUAGAAUCGAUAGAAUAGCGAUUAAAAUAAGAGUCGCUAAUUUAUGCGUUCUGCGGAAACGCUAUAGAGCGGCCGUAGAAUCGCGUUUGAGUUUUGAACUCGAAAAGACGUUCACGGAUUUAACCGAGACGAUUUACAGACGCGGAAAGGAAGUUAUAAAAACUGUCCUUGUGUGGUCCAAUAGCGUUUCGCGUAACUUGCCAAAGGCCUUCGCGGAAACGGUUUCUUGUUAUAAAAAAAAAUCGUUUUUUCCUUAAAAACGUUUUCUGAAAAUCGUUUGUAUAGCAAUAUAGGAUCCGAUUCAAGCGAUAAGCAGGAUCGGAUUAUUUUGAAUUAAGACUGUAGGAAGUAAAUUUAGAGGAGACAAAUAUUGCAAUGUAAGAAAACGAUUUGAGAUACAGAAAAACGUUUUAUGAAAGCGGAUUAAGGAAAAACGAGAAGUGGAGGCGAGAUGAUCUCUUUCCUUAAUUCAAAAUAUCUCCCGCAGUGUGGCGGUUGGAUGAGAUAUAGAAUCCCAGGAUACAACCACUAGUAUUCGUAUAAUCGCAGCACCCGAUUAUAGAAUGUGACGAACUGAUAUUCUACGAUAUACUCUCGGACACUUACUCUUGAAAGAAGAAAGGAGACGCGAGAGAUUUGAAGGAAAAAUGUGAAUGAUUUUUCUCUGUAAAUUUUCUGUAGAGAGCGAUCAAAAUUGGAAGAGGAAAAGUCGAUAUAUGUAGCAAAGGAGAGAGGAUCGUCGCACUUAAUCAGCGUGUUAAUGACGAGAUUAAUUUUGCGCUAAUGAUGUGAUUUGGGCGUUUAUCUUGGCGUGAUUUUCGGGAGAGACAUUUGACUGCAGUUUAAUGUCGUGAUUCUGUUAAGAAUUUGAACCGAAAACUUUAGCAAUUUGGGCCAGAAAUGUUGACCAAAACGAGGCCCAAAAAGAACAUCUUUUGUGGGCCGAAGACCCACAUUCACCAAGACCCAAGACCCGAGCCCGAGACCGAGCCCGGCUCGGCUCGGCGGCGGCGGCGGCGUGCGAGGGAUCCUUGGUUCUCCUUCACACACUUUGAACUAUGUCAUGUGUGUGUCUAUAUUUAUAUGACUAGAAAAUUUUCCAAUCCUCCAAUGUGGGACAAAAUGAUGUUCCUCACAAUUUAAGUUGCCUUGAAGGGCUUUAUUUUUAUUCACACUUGACCAAAUUUUAAAGCCUUUGGGCUUUGUAAUAAUUUGGGUCCAACAAUUGUUAAAUUAGCAGCAUGUUCUAUAUGUAGUAGAUUGGUUGGUAAAGUAAAUCAGUCAUAGUCAGUGAAGACCUAAGGUAAAUUCAUUUUCUAAAAUCAAAAACAUUUAUUAUGAUAGAUAUUUGGCUAGUGGUAUAUGCUCGUAUUCAUAUAAUAAUUGAAUGAUGUUUGUAUACAUGCCAGUCGUCCUCAUUUCAUUUUCUAAACCAAAACCAUUUAUGAUCAACGAGAUUUUGGUUUGUAUAUGCUGAAUUCCAUAAGCGGAUGCCUCCAGAAGCCAUUGACCUUGCAUCUCGGCUUCUACAAUAUUCACCGAGUCUACGUUGCACUGCGGUCAGUAUCUCUACUAUACACGACCAAGUAUUUGUUGGAAUAAGCUUGAAGAAACUUGAAGUGUAAGUUUCCUAAUCCUAAUCAAAGUGUGUUUUAUAGAAGGUUAGGAUUAGAAAAGAAAAUUUAGGAGUUAUCUAAAUAAGAAAUUUGUUUCUCUAUUGGAAUUAGGAGUUAGCUAUUUUAUUCUCUAUAUAAGAGUUGCCAAAGUUGUGGUAAACCUUAUGAGUUGAAAGAAAUAUUAAGAGAGGUUUUAGUUUUUGAGUGAUUUUUCUAAAGCUAAUAAAAGAAGUUGCUUUUAUUCAUACUUGAUCUAAGUCUCAAUUCUAUAACUGGUAUUGUUGGGGUCGGUUUCAUCCCAAUCGGUUUAAACCAUCUCAAGAACAUUGGAGAGCCGAUCCGACAAGGAGAACCGGUGACCUGUCGAAAAUGGGCCGAGCCCCACAGAAGAAGGCCAAGCUCAAGUGGGCCGAGCCGUGAGGUGAAAAUGGGUGAGCCGCGUAUGAGAGCAGACGGGCCGAGAUGUGUCGUGAGGUAUGGGCUGAGCUGCACUUAACAUGAUUGGACCGAGUCGCGCCUCGGCGAGUUAGGCCAAGUCGCGUCUCAACUCGAAUGGCAAGUGGGCCGAGCCGUAGAGAAGGUUAGAUGGGCCGAGCUGUGAGAAGAAUGGUGAGCAGGCCUAGCAGCGCGAGAGGAGGCAUGGGCCGAAUCGCUUCCCUGUGUGUUGGGUCGAGCCGGUUUUCCAAGAUGGGCCGAACCAAGGCUUUAGAAGACGAAAGCCCACAGAAUUCCUAGGCGAAGUAUUAUGACGGUGGCCACACGAAGCGAUAAGGAAAUAUACCUAAAAUCUCUCCCAAGAUUCUCGAAAGAGGCGUUUUAAGAAAUUAGUAUAAAUAGGAGAUUUCUACGAUUCAUUAUAUAACUUUUGCCACCCUAAGCAAUAAGACCUAAACACUUUAACAGCAAUAAAAAUCCUCUUUUGAUCUUACUGUUCUUGCGAUUACCCUAGAAGUUUCGGAUCCCUUAGUUUUUCUCUUACAAAUUUUUGGUUGUGUGAGUUUUGGCUCACACAAUUUGGCGCCGACUGUGGGGAACAUCGAAACUUUCUUACUCUAAACCGAAAAGACUUUAAGAUCCGAAGAACAUGGCGAGCAAUACCCCCGACGAUAACCACAACAACAGAAACAAUGGUAACGGCGCGGAGAAGGACGCUCUGGCAUCAGGCACAACGACGGCAGCGACCGAAACCCAAGAGGAGAUGCGAAACAUGAUGGCCGCGUUGAUGAGGAAAAUCGACGAGGAGGACAAACGAAACGAGGCGAUUACGGAGAGGCUCGACGCGAUGGCGGCUGAGCGACAACACCCAACCUGGAGAGCUGGAAUUCCCGACCCAAUGGAUGGAAUCCGGAGACGCUUCAACUUUUCAACGCCUGCAGAGGCCUCUGGGAGCGGCGCAAGAAACCCCUUGGUUCGCCCAAUGUUUCGUCCCCUCGGCGAACAGACUCCCGCGGCAACCCGAGUCAACAUGACUGAGCCGCCUCCACUCCGUCGGAACUCAAGGCGACGAGCCGGCGAGGAGGAGAAUGACGCGAUUGACGUGGACGCCCAGCAGAACGAUGGAACCACGAAUCCGCAACAAAAUGGCUCGGCUCGGCGGAUAAGCUAAGAAGAGCUCGCCUCGGCACUAAACGGCGUCCGGACUGACGAAGUCUCCGAUCCGACUCACGGCGACAACCCGACUGAAGAAGAAGAAAAUCUCCAAUGGAUCGAGCAGGUGAAGCGCGAAGACGAGCCGAGGAGAGAAGAGUAGGAGCGACUCCCCCAAUCAAAAGGAAUGACUCACGCGCAAACUCUCGAACUCAAAGAGUUGCGAGCCUCAAUGGCUCGGACAGUAGCUGAAAUACGCGCCAUGAAGUCUCAAGUGCACAACGCAACGAGUGCUGCGCCCGAGAUCGACCGGAUGCUUGAAGAAACUCAGAGAACUCCAUUCACGGCAAGAAUCACGGAGGCAAGGAUUCCCGAGCCCGGAAAAGUGAGAAUCCUGUUCUACGAAGGAACAACCGAUCCGAAAGCACACAUCACAGCGUUUCGGAUAGCAAUGGGACGAGCCUUCACAAAGAACGCUGCCAAACUGACCGAGCGGGAAGUAGAUGCCAGAUACUGCCUGCUCUUCGUGGAGCAUCUUAAGGGAGCCGCACUCGAGUGGUUUUCGAGGCAGGAACGCAACUCCAUCGGCAGCUUUCAACAGCUCUCUGCCUUGUUCCUUAAACAAUACUCGAUGUUUAUGGAUAGAGGAACGUCUGAUGCCGACCUGUGGACACUAUCCCAAGGACCGAACGAACCACUUCGAGAUUACAUGGCAAGAUUCAAGGCAGUCGUAUCCAAAACAGAAGGGAUAAGCGACAAGGCUGCACUCGAAGCUCUGAAACAAUCUUUGUGGUACAAAUCCGAGUUCCGACAGGAGAUGGCACUCAACACACCCCAAACAAUUCAAGACGCUUUGCACCGGUCAUCAGACUUUGUCGUAAACGAGGAGGAGAUGAAAAAUUUGGACGAGCAGUACGAAGCAACGAAAGCAGCAAUCCGAAGCUCAAUUUUGACGGGCCCCUCGAAGAAAGGCGACCCAUCGAACAACACAACAACGCAGAGCUCGGACGAACCUAGAAGCGGAGGUGCCCAUAACUACCAGGUAGGCACCGGACGCGGAAGAGGAGAGCCGCGCAACAACACUUGGGUAAGAAAGUCUGCUAACUACGACGAGAAGGCUUUCUGCGAAUAUCACCAGACCUACAGGCACUCAACGACACAAUGCCGAACGUUAGCAGCAAAACUCGCGGCUAAGAUGGCAGCGGGAGAGCUCCAAAACGCGGUCAACCUCAAAGACCUCGUCCCUAAUGAACCACAAGAAAGAGCCGAGCCGAGCGGCGCGGCUGAACCCGCAAAUCCUCCCCGACAAGGCGAUAACUCCAAGCGUGACAGGAGAGGCGAACCUGAAGAGCGACCCAAGCCGAGGCAAAUGAUCAAUAUGAUCAUGGGAGGAUCUCAAUACUACCAAGAUAUCGUGUCCUCCAUCAAAGCCUAUCAGCGCCGAGCCGAAGCGAAGGAGAAUUGGACAGAACCAACCGACAUCCUAAAUACAGUGAUCUCCUUCGCCGAGGAGGAAACGGCAGGAAUCGAUAGACCCCACAACGAUCCAUUGGUGAUUGAGUUAACAAUCAGGGAUCAUGACGUAGCGAGGGUGCUCAUCGAUAUUGGAAGCUCGGUGAACGUCAUCUUCAGGGACACACUCAGAAGAAUGGGAAUCGACCUCUCCGAGGUGGAAGCAAUCCCCAAACGUCUAACCGGAUUUUCAGGAGAAACGACGAUGACUAUGGGAACGAUCAGGCUCCCUGUGGUAGCUGGCGGAGUCACGAAGAUCGUUGAAUUCUGCGUCACCGAUCACCCAACAAUCUAAAAUGUGAUUAUGGGAACUCCAUGGAUCAACGGAAUGAGGGUGGUCCCCUCCACCUAUCAUCUCUGUCUCAAGUUCCCGACUCCAGCGGGUGUCAAAAUGAUCUGGGGGAAUCAGAAGGAGUCACGAAUGUGCUGCCUAGCAUAGCACAAGCUGAGGAACCCCGUCACCGACGCACGAGCAGACAUAGAUCGCAAAAAGAUGAAGACAGACCGAGAGCCUGCGAACAAGCUCUUGAAACUCUUAUAGCACUUACAGAUCGCGGAGAGCCGCAAAACACGCGCCGAGCCGGUAUGUGAUGCGGUGGACUCGGUGUGCAUAGACGAGGCGCGUCCGGAGUGAUGCGUCAAAAUUGGAGCAAAACUAGAAGAGCCUCUGAGAAGCAAACUCCUUUCCCUCCUCAAGGAGAACAUCAACACUUAUGCCUGGACAGCGGAAGAUAUGCCAGGCAUAAGCAUCGACGUGACCUGUCACGAGCUGAACGUGGACCCGACCUUUUGAUGUGCUCGUGUCAACUACGUGAGGGAACAAGUUUUACCCUUAACAAGACAAAUGAAAGCCGCAAGUGCACAGCGAAUCAGUUGUAGUAUUUAGGGAUCAAAUCCACAGAGAUUUGUGUACCUGGUAUUCUUCUACGGUUUUUAACUUUAUGUCUAGACUAAAUUGGUUUUAAAGGUUAGUUGUUUUUCUUGCGAAUUAAACUAAAACAAAAGAAAGCAAAUAAAUAUAUCCUAAAAAACAGGUAAGAAAAUCGAAUGAAAUGCAAUUAGAAUAGGCAAAUAUCGAAUGAAAGACUAAUAAGGCAAGUAAGAUAUCGCAUGAAAAGUAAAUAAAGCAAGUAAAUAAUGAACUAAGAAAAUUGAAAUGCAGGUCUAAAAAAGCAAGUAAAAAUCGAUGGAAUUGUAAACUAUGGCUAAAAACGCUGAGCUUUUGGGAACUCUAAGGGAUCAUAAUCGGUUUUAACACUAAGGUAGAUAGAUUGGGAUUGACAGAUAACGAUAUAUGGGUUCUAGAGCUAGAGUACGGCGGUAUGACUACGUCACUGUCGUGAUCAUAACCAACAGUUUCUCGCAACCCUGACCAGUAGGUUUCCACUCUGGCCCUGGAAGGGAGAGAACGCAAGAGCUGCACAAGACUCGUCAAUACUCACGAUCUCGCCGCAGGUAGGUUUCCACUCCUACGGAAAAAUCGCCUGUUUCAUUCUAGGGCUGAUACUUAAUGAAAACUUUCGCAACACUAACUAUCUAGAUCAGAUACUAGGUGAUCAAUCAAGCAUACAUGCAAUAAGAACAAGAAUAAACAGAGAACAGGUCGAAAUCCCAGAUCUAUAAACCUAGAUGUCUUAAUCGAUUAUGAGAGCCCCUUUCGGGAACCCUAAGCCCAACUCGGGAUCUACUCAGACAUGGCUGAGUUCGAAAUCAUCAUUGGUUUUAAUAUAAGUAAUGAAAAACAGUAAAGAAAAGAGAUAAAGAAAGCUUCUCUAUUGAAGAACUCGGACUUGAACAAUCUUCUACAAAAAUCUCAUAAAAACGGCUAAAGGAAAAGGGUUUAUGUAAAGUAUGAAGGGUUCUCCUUAAAAACGACCUAAAUGACAUGUAUUUAUAGUCUCCAAUACUCUAUGGUCUCUAGGGUUCCAGAAUUGAGGCUGAGAAUGACUUUGGGCUUCAGAUAAGUGGGCUUUAACUCGGAGAUUGAUUGCCGCAGUCGGGAGUGUUGUGACCGUGGCAAUUGGCUUGUUGGCCGCGGUCGGGAAGCUUCUGACCGCGGCAAAUAGCUUGUUGGCCGCGGUCGGGUGAGUUGUUGACCGACUUCGAAUGGCUCCGGGGCUAAUGAAAUAUCUUGAGAUCCAACCAUUGGAAUGUCUCCAAACCAAGUGAAUUUGAAAGCUGGUUGAUUCUUCUAUAAGUUGUCCAAUUUUGAGGGUGAUCAGACGGUGAGAAGGUCUUCGUCUCUCCAUGAGAGUUCUGACGGUCUGCAUUUAUCCAAAAGAGUCUUUUUGUUCCAUUUUGUGCCUCUUUAUCCCAAAUUACCUGAAAAGUCUUUUAAAAUCUGGAAACAUAGAAAUCCUUUGAAAACCUUUGAAAAUGGAGUAAAAACACCUGUAAAAGAUAUUAAAAUGAUCCAUAAAAAUGGUCAAAAUCCGGUGUUAUCAACUCUUCCAGACUUAGUCUUUUGUUUGUCCUCAAAGAAAAUAAGGCUAAAUCUCGGCGAGAGGUUUGAAAACGCAGGAACUAAACAAAAUCUCAGAGACCAAACUUCUAGACCAAUAUCAAUCAGUAUGCAUCAAUAGGAAUAGCCUAGAAAAUUCUCACUAGCAAUACAGGCAUAACUAGUCCGUUAAUCCGUCAUGCAGAAAUCUAUGCACUAAGAUCUAACUUCCAGUCAACUAGCUCUUAACAUUCAUUAAAAAUCUCGGUGGUUCUCAUCAAAGAAAAUCUAGGCAAGGCGAUCUAGGCUAGGUGUCAAGAAGGAUUAUUUUGGGGGGUAAGGCUUAAAGUGUUUACGGGUUACCUGAAGAUUUGGAGGAUGCAGGAUAUUAUGCAAAACCGCAAGAGAGAGUGAAGCUAUUGGUAUCCACAGUUUUCAGUUGGUGAGAAGAUGGAGAAUAAAAGCGAAAUAAAAUAAAAUAAAAAGAAAAGAAAAUGAUGAUAGAACCGUGAUGGUAGUGAAGUGCUGAUCAAUCACUCAUCCUCCGAAGUGUCGUCUGCGAACUGGUUUCGUCCAUUUUCUGCAAAAUGAAAUGAUUCUUGGAAAAAGAGUUAAUAUGGAUGCUGAUUUUAACACAUUAAGAUUUGUUACACUAAUACUAGCAUAAAGAGAUUAAUUAAAACCAUGAGCAAACAAAAUUGAUAUUGAAUCAGAGAAAUCAAGUAGUUCAUGACUAAAUUCGGAUUUUUGAUGUUCUUAACAUAGAAAUCUUCUAAAAAUCGGUUUUGAUGAGCAAUUUCCAUGUAAAAUUCUAAAGAUUACCCAAUACUAAUCACUAAUCACACAAGACUAAAUCAAAUUCAUCAAUUUUGCUGUUCCAAAUUCGAUUUUUAUUAAGCAUGUAGAAUCCAAAUUUCAAAAAUCUCAAUUUCUCUUAAGCUAAGUGCUAAAUCGAUUUUUAGAUAACCUAAAUGGAUAAUGUAUCAUUCUUAAGCUAUUUCCACCAUCAAUAGACCAAGAUUUUGGGUUUUUAAAGAAAACCCUAAGUUCAAAUCGAGUAAGAAUGGUGAAUUUGAGGUUCAUACCUUGCUGGAAAGAGAGAAUUGAUGGCAGAAUUGAAAUCAGCUUUGAAAAAGAGUGAGGUUUGAGCCAAAAAUCUCUUAAAAAGCUUAAGAAUUGAAAAAUGUGUUCUUUCUCCUAGAUCUUUAAGUCUUUUGGAAGAGAGGAGAAGAAAGAGUUUUGAUCCAAAAAGUUUGUUUCUUUUCUUUAAAAAGCAUUUUUGAAGCAAAAACGAAAAAUUUCUGGAAAUUUUUAAGUUUAUGGGAACUUACCUUUUCUUGUUUGCACAUUAGGAAAGUUCAAAACUUACGGAGGAUCUUUUCGGGUUUUACCGGGAACAUUUCGGGAAACACCGGGAAUCACCAGGCAACACCGGGAAAUACCGAAAAAGGCAGAAAUCCGCGGCAUCACCUCAACGACCAACGGCCGCGGUCAGGAGACGCGCGACCGCGGUGAUUGAGGGCUCGGCCGCGGUCAUGUUCACGGUGCCGCGGUCGACGCACCCUUGGCCACGGGUCGAACGGUCGCCACCGCGGCUCUUCCUCCUGCGGCCUAUUGUCCAAUCUUCUAGUCUUUGCCGGGCCGAGCGGCUAAAAACCUACCUUUUCUUCUUGGUUUUUCUAAUUUUCUGAUUUUUUUGUGUUUUUGUUUUAUAACAUACCUAAAACUUAAAAAGAAAAAGAAAGCAUAAAUUGUAAAAAGGAAAAGAAAACUAAAAGAAAGAGUACCUAAAUGGGUUGCUUCCCAUUAAGCGCUUUUGUUUUAAGUCGUUUAGCUCGACGUAAGCAUGAGGAAUCAGGCUGAUUUGAAUGGCACUCCACUUGAUGUGCCUUUAUCACUUCCGGUUGCUGGAGGUUUUACUUCUUCUCCUUGAGGAGAAGUCUUCUUACCUUUACUCUUCUUUCGGACUUUAAUGUUGUUCAGAACCCUUUUUGUGUUUUUGAUCAGCUCCUGGAUUUGGUCCUCACUAGUUUCUGUUGCAUCUGGUGGAAUGAUGAUCUUGAUCUUUGCAAAAGCUUUCGGCUUCUCCUUUUCUUUCUCUUUUGGCAUGUUUCCUUUGCUUGGAAAUUCUUCUAAGAUAGUAGGAUAGUACAUUUUUCUGUCCACAUUGAGGAAAACAGCAUGCCGGUUUGCGUGAUCGAUAAUUGCUCCUACUGUAGCUAGGAAUGGUCUCCCGAAAAUGAGUGGCCUCUCCAUGUCUUUAUCCAUCUCUAGGACUUGGAAAUCUGCUGGAACAGUCUUAUCUCCCACUAGAACUUGUAGAUCGUGAAUCGCCCCUUCAGUAUCUUUUUGAGAUAAAUCUCCAAAGAUAACCUUAACCGUCGAUGUCCUUAAGGUUUUUAUGCCCAAUUUUUCGGCAAAUGUCUUAGACAUGAUGUUGACAUUGGCUCCGGAAUCGCACAAGCAGUCUGUAAACUUGAUUCCUGAAAUGAAACACUGGAAAACAAAACGUCCCGGAUCAUCGGCUUUGGUAAGCCUUUGAAACGGUGAUAGUUCAGGUACCUUAAACGGUGGCUGCUUGGGAUCGAUAUCCUUGUACAGCGGUACAAAGAUUGGGGUUUCUUCUUUCUUUCCAUCGGUUCCGGCCUCUUCUUCGGGCAAUGUGGUUAUGGCGUUGCAAAACUUCUUAGCGUUAUCUUCAACUCUUCCUGGAAGAACUCCACUUUUCCUCUUCAUAGAGUCGGCCGUUUGGGCGACUUGCACAUCUAAUUUUUUUACGUGCGAAGAUAAAGAUUCAAACUUACCAUUCAGAUCAUUGUACAUGCAGACCACUUUCACGUUCACGUCUUUAGAUGCUUUUUCGUUCGUCAUAACGAGCUGUUGGAUUGACUGUUCAAGUCUACCGAUUUGUGAAGCUAGCUGGUUCGUCGUGACUCCCUGCUGUUGUACAAAUUGAUUGUUAAAACCCGUACCUUGGUAGUUAUAUGGCUGUCGCGGUUGAUAUGGUACUAUUCCUCCAAAGUUUCCACCUUGAAACUUGUUUUGGAAGGAUUUUUGCUGAGGUGGGUAGUACUGAUCUUGAGGAUUCUCCACAUUUGGAUUGCGGUAAGAGAGAUUGUUGUAAUUUGCAUUCCGGAAGUUGUUGUUGAAGUUGUUGUUGGAGCGAUUUUGGUAUGGCAUUAGUGCUCCUACGUAGUUCACAUCUUCUUCUUGAAAUGCUUGAUUAAUGUGAUCGAUAUCACUAGGUCCUUCCUCUUCUGCGCCAUUUUUGGUUUCACAGGCAUGGAUCGGGCGAUUGUUGCUCUUCAGAAGCUGGUUCACCAUGUUCUUCAACUCGGUUAUCUCCUUGUUGUCUGUUCCGGAUUGCUUCAUCGAUCGAUCGUAUUCAGGACAGUCAUUGCUAUUGGCUUGAGCCAAAUUUUCGAUGAGAGCUCUUCCUUGGGUUAUCGUCUUUUGCCCAAAAUCUCCAUUGCUAGCUGUAUCAAGUGAAAGUUUGUAUUUUGGUUGCAAACCUCGAUAAAAUGUGCUUAGCAGGCUUGAUCCAUGAAAUCCAUGGUGAGGAGUCACGUUCAUAUUCCUUAAAACGUUCCCAAGCUUCAUAGAAAGAUUCAGUUGGCCCUUGUUGAAAGGUUGAGAUCUUCGUUCUCAAAUUGUUCGACCUUGACUUAGUGUAGAAGUGGUUUAGGAAAGCAGUUCUACAUUCUUCCCAAUUGGUAAUCGAUCCUGCAGGCAAAGACUUCAACCAACGGUGAGCUUUAUCUGCUAAUGAAAAAGGGAACAACUUACACUUUAAAUAGUCAGGUGGAACUUGGUUUGUUCUCAUCAUGCUGCAAAUUUCUUCAAAAAGCUCGAUAUGGUCCAUUGGGUGCUCAGAAGGAACUCCAUGGAACUGGUUUUGCUUCACCAAUGAGAUGAUUUGAGGCUUGACUUCAAACUCAUUCCGGUUUGGAAAUGGUACUUGAAUCGCAGAUCGAUUCUGAAAAUUUUGAGUAUGUGCAUCAAAAUCAGCUAUGCGAUGGUUCUUGGCUUGUCUUUGGUGUUGAUUUGCUGGCGGAAUGGGGCGGUGAAUGCGUUUAUUCGGCUGCAUUGCUGGGUGGUCACCAUCGGCUGCAUUGAUGGGUGGAUCAAGGUCUUCACGUCCUUCUCUCUCUCGGUUCUGGUGGUUUCUUGGAAGAACCUCAUCCUCCUCUCCAUCUUGUCGAGCAUGAUCACCUUUUAUGUGAUCAUUCUCUUUGUUUUCUCCAUGUUCGGACCCGUCUUGGUCCAUAUUUAAAUUUCGAUUAAUAGGAUCUCUAGGCUGGUCGUCGUUGGCCAUUCCUUGCGUUCGUCUAAGUCUUCGAAGUUUUCUUUCGUGUCUGUCUAUCUCGUCUAGAAUUGGAAUGUCUCCUGCAGGUCUACGCCUGGUAUUCAUGAAAUUCAGAGAAAAACAAAAGAAGGGAAAGAUAGUUCAGAAAAACUUUAAGAAAGAACUAGAGAUCAGGUGUCUAGAACAGAAGUUAAAACAAGAAAAAUAGCAAAAGGCAGCGAAACAAAUCCCCGGCAACGGCGCAAAAAACUUGAUGUGCUCGUGUCAACUACGUGAGGGAACAAGUUUUACCCUUAACAAGACAAAUGAAAGCCGCAAGUGCACAGCUAAUCAGUUGUAAUAUUUAGGGAUCGAAUCCACAGAGAUUUGUGUGCCUGAUAUUCUUCUACGGUUUUUAACUUUAUGUCUAGACUAAAUUGGUUUUAAAGGUUGGUUGUUUUUCUUGCGAAUUAAACUAAAACAAAAGAAAGCAAAUAAAUCUAUCCUAAAAAACAGGUAAGAAAAUCGAAUGAAAUGCAAUUAGAAUAGGCAAAUAUCGAAUGAAAGACUAAUAAGGCAAGUAAGAUAUCGCAUGAAAAGUAAAUAAAGCAAGUAAAUAAUGAACUAAGGAAAUUGAAAUGCAGGUCUAAAAAAGCAACUAAAAAUCGAUGGGAUUGUAAACUAUGGCUAAAAAUGCUGAGCUUUUGGGAACUCUAAGGGAUCAUAAUCGGUUUUAACACUAAGGUAGAUAGAUUAGGAUUGACAGAUAACGAUAUAUGGGUUCUAGAGCUAGAGUACGGCGGUAUGACUACGUCACUGUCGUGAUCAUAACCAACAGUUUCUCGCAACCCUGACCAGUAGGUUUCCACUCUGGCCCUGGAAGGGAGAGAACGCAAGAGCUGCUCAAGACUCGUCAAUACUCACGAUCUCGCCGCAGGUAGGUUUCCACUCCUACGGAAAAAUUGCCUUUUCAUUCUAGGGCUGAUACUUAAUGAAAACUUUCGCAACACUAACUAUCUAGAUCAGAUACUAGGUGAUCAAACAAGCAUACAUGCAAUAAGAACAAGAAUAAACAGAGAACAGGUCGAAAUCCCAGAUCUAUAAACCUAGAUGUCUUAAUCGAUUAUGAGAGCCCCUUUCGGGAACCCUAAGCCCAACUCGGGAUCAACUCAGACAUGGCUGAGUUCGACAUCAUCAUUGGUUUUAAUAAAAGUAAUGAAAAAAAGUAAAGAAAAGAGAUAAAGAAAGCUUCUCUAUUGAAGAACUCGGACUUGAACAAUCUUCUACAAAAAUCUCAUAAAAACGGCUAAAGGAAAAGGGUUUAUGUAAAGUAUGAAGGGUUCUCCUUAAAAACGACCUAAAUGACAUGUAUUUAUAGUCUCCAAUACUCCAUGGUCUCUAGGGUUCCAGAAUUGAGGCUGAGAAUGACUUUGGGCUUCAGAUAAGUGGGCUUUAACUCGGAGAUUGAUUGCCGCAGUCGGGAGUGUUGUGACCGCGGCAAUUGGCUUGUUGGUCGCGGUCGGGAAGCUUCUGACCGUGGCAAAUAGCUUGUUGGCCGCGGUCGGGUGAGUUGUUGACCGACUUCGAAUGGCUCCGGGGCUAAUGAAAUAUCUUGAGAUCCAACCGUUGGAAUGUCUCCAAACCAAGUGCAUCUGAAAGCUGGUUGAUUCUUCUAUAAGUUGUCUAAUUUUGAGGGUGAUCAGACGGUGAGAAGGUCUUCGUCUCUCCAUGAGAGUUCUGACGGUCUGCAUUUAUCCAAAAUAGUUUUUUUGUUCCAUUUUGUGCCUCUUUAUCCCAAAUUACCUGAAAAGUCUUUUAAAAUCCGGAAACAUAGAAAUCCUUUGAAAACCUUUGAAAAUGGAGUAAAACCACCUGUAAAAGAUAUUAAAAUGAUCCAUAAAAAUGGUCAAAAUCCGGUGUUAUCACCUUUAAGCCAAUCAAGCAGAAAAGAAGAAAGCUCGGCCCCAAACGAGCUAAAGCAGUUAACGACGAAGUCGAGAGAUUACUCAAAGUAGGAUCAAUCGCCGAGGCCAAAUAUCCGGACUGGCUCGCGAAUCCGGUGGUCGUGAAGAAGAAGAACGGCAAGUGGCGGGUCUGUGUGGAUUUCACUGACCUCAACAAGGCGUGCCCAAAAGACAGUUUUCCCUUGCCACACAUCGACCGGCUUGUCGAAGCCACUGCAGGAAAUAGAUUGUUAACAUUUAUGGACGCGUUCUCUGGCUACAAUCAGAUCCUGAUGCAUCCUGAUGAUUGGGAAAAAACGGCAUUUAUAACUGAUCGCGGGAUAUACUGCUACAAAGUCAUGUUGUUCGGGCUCAAGAACGCGGGAGCAACAUAUCAACGGCUCGUCAAUAAAAUGUUCGCGGCUCAGCUCGGAAAAACCAUGGAGGUAUACAUUGACAACAUGUUAGUCAAAUCACUCAAGGAGGAAGACCACGUCGCGCAUCUACGGGAAUGCUUCGAGCAAUUGAACAAGCACAACAUGAAACUAAACCCGGCAAAGUGCAGAUUUGCGGUCACCUCGGGAGAAUUCCUCGGCUAUCUGGUAACUCACUGAGGCAUAAAAGCAAACCCCAAGCAGAUCAAGGCAUUAAUCGAGAUGCCCUCUCCAAGGACGAAGCACGAAGUGCAAAAGCACACAGGAAGGGUCGCCGCGCUAAACAGGUUUAUUUCCCGUUCUACCGACAAGUGCCUGCCUUUCCACGACACCCUUCGGGGAAACAAGAAAUUCGAGUGGGACGAGCGAUGCGAAGCAGCUUUCCAAGAGUUGAAGAAUUAUCUGGCGAGUCCACCGAUCUUAGCAAAACCAGUCGAAGGAGAGCCGCUCUUCCUCUACAUCGCCGUAUCUGCUACAGCUGUGAGUGGAGUGCUUAUCAGAGAAGAACGACCCGAGCAAAAACCCAUUUUCUACAUCAGCCAGACACUGACCGACGCCGAGACCCGCUACCCCCAGAUCGAGAAGGUCGCCUUAGCCGUCGUAGUCUCGGCUCGCAAACUGCGCCCGUAUUUUCAACCACAUUCAAUUGUUGUGCUCGCUACACUUCUGCUGCGCUCGAUCCUACACAGCCCGAGCCAAUCCGGUCGGCUCGCCAAGUGGGCCAUAGACUGAGCGAAUACGACAUCGAGUAUCGGAACGGGUCGUCUGCAAAGUCACAGGUGCUCGCAGAUUUUCUCAUCGAACUUCCAGCCGAAGCAACGAACGAGCCAACCCCGGACGAAGUAUGGACGCUGCACGUCGACGGCUCGUCAUCUAAACACGGCUCAGGAAUAGGAAUCCGCCUCACCUCUCCCACAGGAGAGAUACUGGAGCAGUCGUUUCGCCUAAACUUCCACGCCUCGAACAACGAAGCAGAAUACGAAGCAGAAUACGAAGCACUGAUCGCCGGUGUACGACUAGCGCAAAGAAUUGGAGUUCAAAAGAUAAUAACCUUUUGCGAUUCACAGCUCGUAGCAUGCCAGUUCAACGGAGAGUACGAGGUGAAAGAUGGACGAAUGGGAGCUUACCUCAACGUGGUCCGAGAGUUGGUGCAGAAGUUCGACGAGUUCGAGCUCACACAAAUUCCCCAAGGAGAAAACACCUCGGCUGACGCCUUGGCAGCACUCGCCUCGACCUCAGACCCAGACCUCCGACGGACGAUUCCAGUUGAAUUCAUCGAACGUCCUAGCAUCGAAGAGGUAGAAAGAGUUCGGCUGAUAAAUCCUCCCGAACAAGAACCGGAAGACGACAAAGCCAUUCCUAUGGACGAAGACGCCCUACCAGCCGAGCCGGAGUACGGCUGCAACAAAAAAUGGCUCGGAGCUAUCCGAGUAUAUAUCGCCGAUGGAGAAGUCCCAACCGACAAGUGGGAAGCCCGCAAAUUAAAAGCAUAGGCCACGCGGUAUGUCCUUGUCGACGGAGAGGUGUUUAAAUGGAGAUUUUCAGGACCUCUCAUGACAUGCGUCGAAGGACCGGAGGCAAGAAAGAUCAUGCACGAACUGCACAGCGAAGCGUGCGGAAACCAUUCUAGCGGAACGUCGCUCGCUAUCAAGAUAAAACGGCACGGUUACUUCUGGCCUACGAUGGUCAAGGACUGCGAAACAUUUACGGCAAAGUGCGAGAAGUGUCAACGGCACGCUCCAACAAUUCAUCAACCUACCGAGCUGCUCUCAUCAAUUUCGUCAUCUUACCCGUUCAUGAGAUGGUCGAUGGACAUCGUCGGACCUCUACAUCGAUCGAAGCAGAAGCGCUUUCUGCUCGUCCUCACGGGUUAUUUUUCCAAGUGGGUCGAGGCUGAUUCCUACGCAAGCAUAAAGGAUGUUCAAGUCGAACACUUCGUAUGGAAAAAUAUCAUCUGCAGACACGGGUCCCCUACGAGAUAGUCACCGACAACGGAUCCCAGUUCAUCUCGACGCGUUUUGAAGCCUUCUGCGAGAAGUGGAAAAUCCGUCUAAGCAAAUCUACACCAAGAUACCCUCAAGGGAACGGACAAGCUGAAGCAGCCAACAAGACAAUCCUAGACGGUCUGAAAAAGAGGCUCGACGCCAAGAAAGGACGAUGGGCAGACGAACUCGAAGGAGUCCUUUGGUCGCAUCGAACGACCCCGCGCCGAGCCACCGGAGAAACUCCAUUCGCUUUGGUCUACGGAGCGGAAUGCGUAAUUCCCCCCCGAGGUGGACUUCCCAGGUAUUCGACGAAGACUUCUACCAGGACAUGAGGGCUUAAACCACUUAAUGAUGCUAGAUGAGCUCGAUCUAAUCAACGAAAGGCGUGACCAGGCUUUAGUCCGAAUCCAGAACUAUCAACAAGCAACGGCGAGGUACUUCAACAAAAACGUUCGUAGUCGAAGAUUCAAAGAAGGAGAGCUCGUCCUUCGAAAGAUUUUCCAAAACACUGCCGAGAAGAAUGCAGGAAAGCUCGGAGCAAACUGGGAAGGUCCUUACAAGAUUACAAAAGUAGUUCGCGCAGGAGUCUACGAACUCGCAACCCUAGCUGACGAAGCGAUUCCAAGAUAAUGGAACGCAAUGCAUCUAAAGAAGUAUUAUCACUAAAGCUACAGUACGGUCAACAUGAACUACGGGACGGCUUGAUCCCUGCAAAGGGUACGUAGGCAGCCCGUCCUCGGACGGAUUCAGCUGUCCCCCCUCCUAAAAAGGGGGGGGGGGGAGUGGGUACGUAUACACAUACUUUCAUUUAACUCUACAAUUUUAGCUCACCUACCUAGGAACAUUGCCACUUCGGCACAUUUUCAGUUCGUUUUAAGUUAUCUACUUAUUUCAUGUUCACCUCGGAAUUCUAGUUCGUUCAUUAUCGCUUCGGCUAGUUUCUCAUUCUUUUAAAUCAGCAGCUUAUUUCAUAAUUCGCCUCGGAUUCUUUAAUUCGUUCACCCAUCACUUUGACAUGUUAUCAUGACUUAAUCGUCUCAGACCUUUUACUUGCCUUCACUUUCAGUUCGACAAAUUAAGUCUCCAGACGCCUCGUCUCGUUGCUGGCCACAACGGGACAACGGAUACAAAGUUCUCUAAACGGACUUUUACCACCUUUCUUAGGACGAGGGUGCAAGUUACAUCCUCUAUGAAUAAAAUUAAAGCGCGCUAUACAAAUAUCAGACCAAAAACGUAUCGGUCGCCACAGUUUACUAUCGCACACAGAUUAUAAGUCGAGACUACAUCGCUUUCUCUAAAACCGAAGUGAACUCUUAAAACCCGGCAAAACACACUCAUCCUCUCGGAAACGCCGGUCUAUGGUCAUAUUCAACGAGACUACUAUAUCCUCUUGAUCUUUCGCCUCGUCAAUGAGAAAACACAUAACUUACCUGAUAAAUACUUCGGCUUCUUUCUCAAAACAAUCUUAUAACAGCUCACCUCAAUGCGGACCUCUCUCAGUGACAGAAUGGAUAAACCCCAAAUCAUUUUUGGUUAAUAAAAACAAAACGCCUCGUCGUUUACACGGCUCGGCAUCAUGCAAAGAAAAACGCCUCGUCGUUGAACACGGCUCGGCAUUACCAACAAAAGUUGCCUGGAUAUUAUCACUUAACACUUUUUAGCGUCACCUAAAACAAAAGACGCUCCACAAACCAACUCCCAGCUCGGGAUUCAGAACUCAAACGGGAUCCUGAACAACUCACCCCUUAGCCCGUAUUUCUAUCAAUUUCAAAGAAUUCGGCUAGAAAAGCAAUCGAGAUCAUUCUCGACACAGCUCGAUAAGCCAAUCGGUGACAACUCUUUCCAAACAAACAGUUUUUGUAAACAUUUUCACGGAUCGUCAAGGACAAACGAAUCAAAUCCGAAAACGGCUAAGGAAAAGAUAAUAUAACCAAAUGGAAAAAUAACAGUCAGGUGGAUAAAGCCAUCCAGGCACCGGUUUCACAAGAUUUCAAGAAGCAGAUAACAUCACCUAAAAUCCUAAGUACAAAAGCAUGUGAGACGAAAAGAUAGGAGAAAGCGGAGAGGAUCAGGCCGCAGACUGCGUUUCACACUCGGCAAGGAGGUUCGAGAGGGCCGGCGUCUCCGCAUUCGAUCCGGUCGGAUCUACGACGCCCAGGUUGGCCGCUGUCUCCUCGAGCGGCUCGUUACCGAGACUGGUGUCCACCUAGUCCGGCGAUACGGGCGAAAAAACCAGGUUACCUCGAAUCUCAGAGGCAAUGCGCUCAUACGCCUCGUCGUCGGCGUACUUGCUCUCCCAGCUCUUCAGCUUCGCCUCCUCGUCAUCGAGCGUUGGGGCGUCCAGUUUCAUCAGGUCGGCAAUCAUCGCAAGAUUGCCCUUGAUCUGCCCCAGCUCGUUCUUGUCGGUUUUGGCCUUCUCGAGCUUGGCCAAACCUUCCUUUACCUUGGCGAGGCGUUCCUGAAACUUAUCCUUUGCCUCGAUACGCUUUUUGAGCAACGCCACCUCGGCGCUUUUAGCUCUCCUAGCCUCCUCCAGGCAAAUAGCCGAGGCGGAGACCUUGUCAAUAUUGGUGCAGAGAACUAUCUUCUCCUCUUCCAGCCUGGACACCCUGGUCAUCGCCUCGUCCAGCUUCCCCUUUGCCAACGCGGUCUCGUUCGGAGCCUCGUCCAAGCGACGUUCAACCUUAGACAGGUCCGUCUCGUAUUCAGCCAUCAGCUCGUUGAUGGUCGCUACAAACUGCAAGGAAUAAUGCGCGUUAAACACUUGGUACCACGCUGUGCCAUCGCGCCGUACGACCUCGGUCUCCUCAGCUUUUCUGGAGGAGGAAGACGCGUGUUCGCAUUAUUAACGCGCGCGAACAUUACUGCCGAGGCGUCAGGGUCGUCAACGACCAGUUUGCGCGCAGCGUGAUCACCGGGAGUCGACUUGCGCUUCUUCUUGGACGGCUCAUCUUUUGGAUAGCAACGCCCGCUGAACGUUUCCGGCUAGGGUCGUGCUUACGUACAACCGAGGUCGGGGGCCUCGAUGACUUCGGGAGAGCCAGAAUAGCGGAAUUUGAAGGAGUUUUACUCCGCGCCGCCGAGUCAUCUUUGGACGCCUCGGGAAUAAUCUCGCCCGGUUCCACCUCGGGCGCUGUUUCUUUUUCGGCCGCCUCGGCAACGUUCGCCUCCGUGGCUCGGACCGUGUCGUCACCUUCACGGCUCGGCGGAUCGGUCUGAGGGAUAGCCUCGGUCUCUGUUUGAGCCGCCUCGGCGGCUCGUCUCGCGGCUUCUUCCUCUUCACGCCUCUUCUUAUCUCUGAGAGUAAUGAUCACCAUUUUCUCUCUGGUAUCUCUUGAGGAGCUGGAAGAUGAAGAGCUAACAGGGACUCCGGCAAGAAUAGCUCGCGCUUUUUCUACUCUCUCAAGUGUGAAAUUCUUCCUCCAGUUAAGCUUCCGAGCCGAAAGGGAGUCUCGAACAAUAAAGAGGUCGUCGGGAAUCGGGGAAAGAAUAUUCCGAACUGCAAAAACAACGCAAAAAGAAAAAAGAUUCAGUAAGGGAAAAUGCAAAAAAAACAGUUCCGAGCCGAGGCAAAGCUUCGGAUCGGCUACCAAGUGUCCCCAAGCGGUCUUGGUUUUUUUAAUGUAAUCCUCGCCGACCGACGCCUCGUUCACCAAGACAUAGAAGAAGCGUUCGGUCCAAAACUGAAACUUGCUUGGAAAACCACCUAUAAUCCGGCGAUUGGACUUGUUAGAAAUAUAGAAUCUAUCUCCCUUCGGAGCUUUCCUGAUUUUCAGCAAGUUCAGUGAUGUGCUCGUGUCAACUACGUGAGGGAACAAGUUUUACCCUUAACAGGACAAAUGAAAGCCGCAAGUGCACAGCUAAUCAGUUAUAGUAUUUAGGGAUCGAAUCCACAGAGAUUUGUGUGCCUGGUAUUCUUCUACGGUUUUUUAACUUUAUGUCUAGACUAAAUUAGUUUUUAAGGUUGGUUGUUUUUCUUGCGAAUUAAACUAAAACAAAAGAAAGCAAAUAAAUCUAUCCUAAAAAACAGGUAAGAAAAUCGAAUGAAAUGCAAUUAGAAUAGGCAAAUAUCGAAUGAAAGACUAAUAAGGCAAGUAAGAUAUCGCAUGAAAAGUAAAUAAAGCAAGUAAAUAAUGAACUAAGGAAAUUGAAAUGCAGGUCUAAAAAAAGGCAAGUAAAAAUUGAUGGAAUUGUAAACUAUGGCUAAAAACGCUGAGCUUUUGGGAACUCUAAGGGAUCAUAAUCGGUUUUAACACUAAGGUAGAUAGAUUGGGAUUGACAGAUAACGAUAUAUGGGUUCUAGAGCUAGAGUACGGCGGUAUGACUACGUCACUGUCGUGAUCAUAACCAACUGCUUCUCGCAACCCUGACCAGUAGGUUUCCACUCUGGCCCUGGAAGGGAGAGAACGCAAGAGCUGCACAAGACUCGUCAAUACUCACGAUCUCGCCGCAGGUAGGUUUCCACUCCUACGGAAAAAUCGCCUGUUUCAUUCUAGGGCUGAUACUUAAUGAAAACUUUCGCAACACUAACUAUCUAGAUCAGAUACUAGGUGAUCAAUCAAGCAUACAUGCAAUAAGAACAAGAAUAAACAGAGAACAGGUCGAAAUCCCAGAUCUAUAAACCUAGAUGUCUUAAUCGAUUAUGAGAUCCCCUUUCGGGAACCCUAAGCCCAACUCGGGAUCUACUCAGACAUGGCUGAGUUCGACAUCAUCAUUGGUUUUAAUAAAAGUAAUGAAAAACAGUAAAGAAAAGAGAUAAAGAAAGCUUCUCUAUUGAAGAACUCGGACUUGAACAAUCUUCUACAAAAAUCUCAUAAAAAGGGCUAAAGGAAAAGGGUUUCUGUAAAAUAUGAAGGGUUCUCCUUAAAAACGACCUAAAUGACAUGUAUUUAUAGUCUCCAAUACUCCAUGGUCUCUAGGGUUCCAGAAUUGAGGCUGAGAAUGACUUUGGGCUUCAGAUAAGUGGGCUUUAACUCGGAGAUUGAUUGCCGCGGUCGGGAGUGUUGUGACCGCAGCAAUUGGCUUGUUGGCCGCGGUCGGGAAGCUUCUGACCGCGGCAAAUAGCUUGUUGGCCGCGGUCGGGUGAGUUGCUGACCGACUUCGAAUGGCUCCGGGGAUAAUGAAAUAUCUUGAGAUCCAACCGUUGGAAUGUCUCCAAACCAAGUGCAUUUGAAAGCUGGUUGAUUCUUCUAUAAGUUGUCCAAUGUUGAGGGUGAUCAGACGGUGAGAAGGUCUUCGUCUCUCCAUGAGAGUUCUGACGGUCUGCAUUUAUCCAAAAGAGUCUUUUUGUUCCAUUUUGUGCCUCUUUAUCCCAAAUUACCUGAAAAGUCUUUUAAAAUCUGGAAACAUAGAAAUCCUUUGAAAACCUUUGAAAAUGGAGUAAAAACACCUGUAAAAGAUAUUAAAAUAAUCCAUAAAAAUGGUCAAAAUCCGGUGUUAUCAUUCAGCAGGUGAUUCAGUUCGAUAUCAAGCCUGCACUCAAAGCUUCGAACCAAAAUGCCAAUCAUAUGCCGUAGACCCCUCGGCAUGAUCUGCCUAAUUGAGAUCCCAUGUUUCCAGAGGUAUUCAAGGAUAACUCCAGGGAUCGGGAACCAGAGAAAUCAAAGCUCGAAGAACGCCUCGUACAGAGUGAAGUGAUUCUCGGGAGGCUUGUCGUCUCGGUCGUUCUUAUCUGGAACGAUAAACUCCACCGCCUCGGAUAUCUCGAAACAACGCCUGAACGCCUCGAGUGAGUCAGGGGAGGAAUGCGUAGAACCAGGCGGGUCAGGUUUUUGUCUUUUCACCCGUUGCCUUCGCCCAGAUGAAGAAGCGCCUCAGGACGCCAUGAAACGUUCUAAUUCAUGCUUUGCCUCGAACAGAUCAAAGGGAAACGCCUCCUCCUCGGCUUUUACUGCAGCACGAUUAACGUCUUCGUCAAGAGCGGGACCCUGAGGCUGGCUCGUCGAAACCGACGGCUCGUCAUCUAGAGAGCGGGCGCCUGACGGAUUUGAAUGAUUCGACGCCUCGUCGCUUUCAGGUGAACGGUUGGAAGGGCUCGGCGAAAUGGAUGCCUCGGAAGAUUCUGUUGCACUUCUCGCCUCGGCAUUUACAUGGCUCGGUUCGUAGUUAAAAAGCGAAUCCAACGAAUCAUCAGAACGGUUCGACAUGAUUUACAGAUUAUACGGGAAUUACAAGGUUACACGGCGAACUUCCAUCGGAAAAAGAUCUAGAGCGGCGGAGACCUCAGAACCCUAGACGGAAAAUAAAUAAACAAGACAGAGAAAGAAGAGAGAAGGGAGAGCUACCUUUUAGUGAAAACGAGUGGAUCUGAAGAUUAUGAGAAGGAACAAAAGAGCUCACCUAUUUAUAGAAAAACCGAAGCGCGUGGGUUAUGUGUGAACCUCGGGAGACCGUCCAACAGCGCGUGGGAUCCGCGGCGUAUUAACUAGCUCCAACUGCGUCGGUUACACGCGCCAAUAAAUCAGGAAAAUUCUUUCGGAAGACCAACGGUUGGGAUACCUGAGUUUUCAGCCGACAUCUCGCCACAGUAAACGCCUCGUCGUUAACAAAACGGCUCGGCAUUAACUUUUUCUUGAAACGCCUCAUCGUUAUCAAAAUGGCUCGGCAUGACUUUCUCAAAAACGCCUCGUCAUUUAUUCGGCUCGGCAUGACCUUCUCAAAAACGCCUCGUCGUUUAUUCGGCUCGGCAUAAUAUUCACAAGUCGCCUCGCGUACAACCCUCUUCUAAGGAUAUCUUCCCAAACAGCAUAGACCGCGCCACGCCUCGUCGUUAAACUCGAAUCACGGCUCGGCAUUAUCAACACAAACGCCUCGUCGUUAAACUUGAAUCACGGCUCGGCAUUAUCAACGUAAACGCCUCGUCGUUAAACUAGAAUCACGCCUCGGUAUCCUUGACACCCUCUGGGAAUGCCUCGGCACUUUUUCGAAAAAGCGUCUCAUCACUAACGAGGCGGCUCGGCACAUUCUUCACAUAACCUCGCCAAAACGGCUCGCUACUACACACUGUCGAAGGGCGGCUCGGCAUCUUUAUUUCCAAAACGCCUCACUUGGGACUGUGUCGCAACAGCUCGACUCGAUGGUCUAUCCUAUGAACCUCGUCACUCUCGCCUCCGAAACUGACGAGCUGGGGGGCUAACUGUUGGGGUCGGUUUCACCCUAAUCGGUUUAAACCAUCUCAAUAACAUUGGAGAGCCGAUUCCGACAAGGAGAACCGGUGACCUGUCAAAAAUGGGCCGAGCCCCACAGAAGAAGGCCAAGCUCAAGUGGGCCGAGCCGUGAGGUGAAAAUGGGUGAGCCGCGUAUGAGAGCAGACGGGCCGAGCUGUGUCGUGAGGUAUGGGCCGAGCCGCACUUCAACAUGAUUGGACCGAGCCGCGCCUCACGAGUUAGGCCAAGUCACGUCUCAACUCGAAUGGCAAGUGGGCCGAGCCAUGGAGAAGGUUAGAUGGGCCGAGCUGUGAGAAGAACGGUGAGCGGGCCUAGCAGCGUGAGAGGAGGCAUGGGCCGAAUCGCUUCCCUGUGUGUUGGGCCGAGCCGGUUUUCCAAGAUGGGCCGAACCAAGGCUUUAGAAGACGAAAGCCCACAGAAGCCCUAGGUGAAGUAUUAUGACGGUGGCCGCACGAAGCGAUAAGGAAAUAUACCUAAAAUCUCUCCCAAGAUUCUCGGGAGAGGCGGUUUAAGAAGUUAGUAUAAAUAGGAGAUUUUUACGAUUCAUUAUGUAACUUUUGCCACCCUAAGCAAUAAGACCUAAACACUUUAACAGCAAUAAAAAUCCUCUUUUGAUCUUACUGUUCUUGCGAUUACCCUAGAUGUUUCGGAUCCCUUAGUUUUUCCCUUACAAAUUUUUGGUUGUGCGAGUUUUGGCUCACACAGGUAUCAGAGCUAAAUCGAUCUCUAGGAUUAUGGUUAUUUUCUUAUUAGAUUAGGAGAUAUCUAGUUUUAAUAGGAAAAGGAAAGUGGCUUAGCAAAGUUGUGCAAACCACUAUAUAUAUGUAAGUCAUUGAUGAUGUUGCAUCUAAGAGUAUUCGGAUGCAUCAGUUUUGCAAAGACAGAGGCUCAACACUUGAAGAAGCUGGAUGAUAGAUCACGAGUACUUGUUCACUUAGGAACGAAACCAGGAUCAAAACCAAGAAAAUAGUUGUGAGCAGGGAUGUGAUCUUUGAUGAAAGCAAAGGCUGGAAGUGGGGUGAGAAGGAAAUCAGUAACAACACUGGAAUUUCUAUAAUCAGUUUUGGAGAACACAAUUAUAAUAACUCAAGGGGAGAUGACCAUGAUCUCGAAGAAGAAACAGAGGAAAAGGAGGAAGAGAGUUCCGAAGAAGAGGUCACUGAGCAUGAAAUACAAGUUCCCAAACCCGAGACAGAGAUGAUAUAUCAAGGAGAAGAAGUUGAACAAGGACUAAGGAGAUCAACAAGGUCAAGAGUAAGCCCGAGUUAUCUCGAUGACUUUGUCACUUUAGCCAAGAUUGAUAGUGAACACCUAUUGCUACUUAUAAACGAAGAGCCAUGGGAUUGCAAUGAGCAAAAGGCUGAUAUCUUAACCAAGGCACUAGGAAGAAACAAGUUCAAGGAGAUGAGAUAUCUCAUUGGAGUUCUAGGUGUGUCACAAAAGGAUUUCAAGCUUAAGGGGGAGAAUGUUGGAAUAAGCUUGAAAGAAACUUGAAGUGCAACUUUCCUAAUCCUAAUCAAAGUGUGUUUUCUAGAAGGUUAGGAUUAGAAAAGGAAAUUUAGGAGUUAUCUAAAAAGGAAAUUUGUUUCUCUAUUGAAAUUAGGAGUUAUCUAUUCCAUUCUCUAUAUAAGAGUUGCAAAAUUUGUGGUAGACAUUAUGAGUUGAGAGAGUGAUUAAGAGAGACUUUAGUUUUUGAGUGAUUUUUAAACAAUGGAGAUACCAGGUAAUUAAUCUGGUAUCCCUUUCUCUCUGUUUGAAUGUUCAAACAAUUAUCUGGAGCUUCCCCAGAGCUUAUAAACAGGCUAGUACCAGAGCACGUUAGGCGACAGAUGAGUGGAGGCUUUCCAUUUCAAGCUGCUCCGUAUAAACGACUUCGAAACCAAGAUGCUUUGUUCUUGGUAGAUAAGCCCAUCAAGCUUUUGCUUGGGGAUGUAGAAUUUCAAUUAUUUUAGGGGCCAUUUAGUAUAAAUAUUAGUUGGUUAAGAUGGUGCAGUGAUCUAUGAAAAAAGUGUUUAUUUGUCAUUGUAUUUGGCAUAUUUUAUUUUUAAUCAACAUUAUAUUAUAGAAAUAACUUUUCUUAAACAAUUUAAAAUAAAACAAAUGAAACAAAAACUACAAAACUCCAUCGUCCACUUUACUGUUCGCAUCUACUAUUCAAAAUAAAGAAAAUAACAUAUAUAUUCUAAGUGGAGGUUAUUGGGGAUAAAACGUUUCCUAAUUUUAGUAACAACUAAUAGCAUUUGCAGAUUUUUGCAAGAAAAAAGAAGUUAAAUCCAUUUCUGAAUUGGAAAAAAGGUUUGAAAAUUUCUCAAAACAGAAAGAAAAGAAAAUAGUUAUAAAAAAAAAAGCAUAUAUGUAUUUCCAUUCCUAGACGAUUCUUUACCGAUCUUGCGUGGUGAAAAAAGUAAUACUCAUAUUUUUUCUAUGUUUGGUGUUGAAGAGAUUUUCCAAUAAUCUAUUAUAAAAGAUAAACUUACUAUUACGAAAGAAAAAUUAGGAAAAAAAAUCUGUAUAUACAUUGUUCACUCGAGCUAAAACUAUAGAAACUAAUGAAUAAUUCAACAAAAUCAGGAUUCUUUCUAGUAAUGAUGAAACUUAUUACAAAUAAGAAAGAGUACAAAUAUAUGUGAUCCCAGCUUACAAUGAACCUGCUCCCUACUUAGCAAAAACAAAACUUUUCCAACAAUGUUUUCUAUUCUAGUUGUAUUUAUUCCCCUAUCUGGUUAACCCCUCUACUUCAUUGUGACUUUGUAUGUUCUUCACUUUCUGGUCAAUAUAGAUAUGCUUCUUGUACAAUUACAUGUAAUCCCAGUUUCCCACUCCGAAACCAAACUUUCCCACAUAAGGUCAGCAAUCUAAAAUCUUAUAUAAACCAUCAUAAACAUAAACUUUAGAGCUAACACUGUUUUCAUACUUAAACCCUCUAACCACCCGUACCUCAAUAUCAUGGUACAUACUCCUCUCUAUUGCUAGAUUCCCACUUUCUAGAGCUUCUGAUGUUGAAUCUGCCUGUGGAGCUUAUCUUGACCACCGUGAUCUACCAGAACAUCUCCAUGUGUCUUCAUCAUCCUCGUAAUUACCUGAGACGAUAAUGCUGGUGGCUAUUGGUUCAUCUCCUGUGUAAGCCCACCAAGAACAGUUUCAUGACGGUAAAAUAAGACGUCGCUGAUCUCAACCCGAAGGGAUGGAACCCACUAAGUAUUUAUCCUGGGGUUGAGAUCGGUCGACGUGUUCUUUUACCGUCAUGAACUGUGCUUGGUGGGCUUACACAGCCAGCUACAACGUAGCUCCAAAGGUGAACCGAUAGUCAUCAGCAUUGUCAUCUUGGUAAUUACGAGGAUGAUGAAGACAUACGUGGCUUGUUACAUUAGUCCCAGAAAAGAACCAAAUGUUCUUUCUACAUCUCUUAUCAUAUAAGUCUUAUUGUCUGUUCUUUCUCUCUCUCUGUUUUGCUCCUAUGGCAUUUUUGUCUUGCUUUAGCUUGGGGUAAUAUCUCGAAUCAAUGUUCUUGUUACUCCCCUUCUCUUAUCAUAGGAAACUCAUUGUCUGUACCAUUUUCUAGUUCACAUGCCAAAGUCUUACCGUUUUAGAGUUUUCCUUAAACGCAAUCAUUUUGUAUUCUCUCUCUCUCCGUUUUGCUCAUAUGGCAUUAAUCUGUUGCAAAAAUGAUGCAGAUGAAGAAUAUUUUGACAAAACAUAAACCUUUCUCUGCUCGUUCGCUGUUCUGUCUUUCCUUCUCUCUACGAUAUCUGCAAGGCAAGAUAAAUGUUCUUUCUACUUCUCUUAUCAUAGGAGUCUCAUUGUCUGUUCUUGCAUGCCCACAUGCCGAAGUCUUAAUAUAUUUGAGUAUUUUCGAAGUUUGUUUGGUUGCUCAAUUAAACCAAUCGCAUUCAGUGAAGAAUUAAUGUGGAUUCCAUUUUCUAAACCAGACCCAUUUAUUGUGAUAGAUAAUACAUAUUUGGUAAGUUACAAACAAUAGAGAUGAAAAUUGCCCUAAGUAAAAAGGAAGAAGAAAUUAAAUAUCUAUCACACUACAAGACAUGUUUGGACCACACAAAAACUCAGGGUUUAAUAGUUUGAUCGUGUGUGAUCAAACUAACAUAUUUUUGAUUUUUGUUUUACAUUUGAUUUAUUUUGUGUGGUAUCAACCAAUGUUCUAUUUGUUUUACAAAGAACGAUAGGAGUCUCUUCCAAAAUUUCAUUCUACAUUUCAUAAUUCUUAUUGCAAAAGUUCACGAUAUCUUUUUUUGUUUGUCAUUCAUUUUAAUUUCUAGGCUGAGCUCAAAAUUUCUCGAAAAAUUUGUUGUAACAGUAUGGAGGCAGAAGCUACAACUCUUCUUUGGAUCAUGAUAUGUUUGGAUAAUCUUGGCUAUGAAGAGGUAAUUUCCGAGAGUGAUUCAAAGAUAUUGGAGAAAGCGGUAUAAGCUGAACCUCGAGAAUGGUCAAGGUUUAUAGUCUAUACCUGAGAAAUCAACAAGACAAGAAAAAUAUUAAUUCGACCAACCAUCACUUUCCAAGGAAGACGAGCAAACUAAUGUGUUGAUCUUACAGCCAAUAAAACCUCUUCAUAUGAAGUUCAUUAUGCAUUCUUGAUUAUAUUGUACGUACUCUUUGGUUGAGAAGGAGAAACGAAUUUAUAUGAAAUAUGUUUGAGCUCGAAAAAAUAAGAAAAAUAUGGCAUUAUGUUAAGGAAUGAUGAUAACUCUCCGAAAUUAACAGCAACAAAAAAAUGGAUGACAACUCCUCGUUUACUGGUUUGGAUUCUAUACUAUUACAUUUCGGUUAUUUUCUCAUUUUCACACUUUUCCAUUAUUUUAUAACAUGUUAUGAUGUCAAAAAGAAAUUACAACAUGAUAUAGUGAAAUACAAACGAUAUAACUAUUAAAGUAGCAUUAUUUUAUGGCAUUUUAAAUUUUUAAUUUUGGAUGAUGUUUACUUUUUUUAAUUAAUUUUAUUUCAAUUAGGUAUGUCUCAAGUGGUUAUUUAAAUUCUCUUUCGUUUCUAACAUAAAAUUUUGUUUUAUGUUUAUGAAACUUUUCGCCCGCGUAAAGCGCGGGCUAAAUACCUAGUUUAAUAUUUAAAAUGACACAAUCGUUUUACCAAAAUUUUUUACGUAUAGGAAAUGAUAAAAGAAAAACAUUUACUUGUAAAAUUUUAAAAAUAUAUACUAGAACAAAAAACCUGCUUGUACACGCAGGUGAUCAUCUAGUAGUUAUAAAAAUAGCAUAAUUGUAUGUAUUUCACACUCGUAGACAAUUCUUUACCGAUCUUGCGUAGUGAGAAAAAUAAUACUCAUACUAUUGUUUAUGUCUGGUGUUAAAAAGAUUUUCCAAUAAUUUAUUACAAAAAAAUAAAUUUAAUUUUCGAAAGAAAAAUUAGGAAAAAAUUUAUAUACAUGUUCAUUUGAAUUAAAACUAUGGAAACUAAUGAAGAAUUCAACAAAACCAGGAUUCUUUCUAGUAAUGAUGAAACUUAUUACAAAUAAGAAAGAGUACAAGUACAUGUAAUCUCAGUUUACAAUGAAUCUGCUCACUACUAAAAAAAAAAUGUUUUUUCCAACAAUGUCUUCUGAACCCUUUGAUCUGCUACUAUUAAUCCGAGAAGCAGAAACAUGUUUUCAGCCAAGUGAGAAUUCUUGAUUAUACCCACAUAUCUGCAUCUCCUAAAAUUGAGGUUCCAUACAUUUUCAUUGCUGGAUGCUUGUGAACGCAUACCAAGAUUUGGAUGCUCGUCGAGAGGUUGGGUCCUCUUCUAAAUCCAACACAGGUGAAUGGUUGAGAACUGGAGUGGAUGUUGUUGACUUAAGCAGCAGCAACAACAACAAUACAGAUAAAGCAAUCAAAAGACCAUUCUUGGAUUUGGGUGUCGUUUUUCCUACCAUCACCGUUAGCAACANNNNNNNNNNNNNNNNNNNNNNNNNNNNNNNNNNNNNNNNNNNNNNNNNNNNNNNNNNNNNNNNNNNNNNNNNNNNNNNNNNNNNNNNNNNNNNNNNNNNCUGAAAUCUUCGGUUUGGGGAUUGAGCCUGCUUAAGUCCGCAUUACACAAGCACAUGUAACAUCUCAGAAAAAUAACUUCAAAAUACGGCCAGCAGAUCAGCAGGAUACCGCUUUAUCGAUCUCCUUCACUUAACCGCGUAAUGAUUUUAAAGGCAUGGGGAGACAGUAAAAGCAAGAUUUGAACAUUAGAGUAUAUGUAUGGUUUCUGUUCCUCAGUUUACAUCAUCAGCAUCCACUCCAGUUCUCAACCAUCCACCUGUGUUGGAUUUAGAAGAGGAACCAACCAACCACUUAUAUCCAUUCUGCUCCUGGUGUCUUCCACAGAGAUGUGAAACUACAGAACCUUUUGGUAAGUUGAUCUUAUUGUGGGUUUGUCUUCGGUAACCAUUACUAGAUUGUAAUCCAUUUCUCUGGUGCGUUCUGUAGGUUGAUCCCCUCACUCAUCAGUGUAAGCUGUGUGAUUUUGGAAGUGCAAAAGUAUUGGUAAGGGUUUACCUUAUUUAUGUUGUUUUAUUAUUUUUCCACUGCUUAUGUGUUCUGUCUCAUGAAAUCAAUUGCACCUUAUUUGUUUUCAUGAUCUUUGCAACAUGUGACUAUUGACUUUAGGUGAAAGGUGAACCAAAUAUAUCAUAUAUCUGCUCUCGGUAUUACCGAGCUCCAGAACUCAUCUUUGGGGCCACAGAGUCUACAUCCUCCAUAGAUAUAUUGUCUGCUGGUUUUGUUUUGGCAGAGCUCCUUCUUGGUCAGGUUAGUGUAAACUAAUUUAUCCAUUAAGUAUCUUGAGAACUAAAGCAUCUCUCCAAUAUCUUUGACAAUCAUUUGAUAUUUAUUUAUCUUCAGCCGUUAUUCCCCCAAAAUUCUGUGGACCAGCUAGUGGAGAUCAUCCAGGUGAAGUCUCAUUUUGAUUUAGAGUUUACCUUGGCGUCAUUAUAGAAAAUUCCUAUAAUCUAAUAGAUUUUUCAUUAUGAUUAAAAUUUCGUUCUGUUUAGGUUCUUGGUACUCCAACUCAAGAAGAAAUCCGAUGCAUGAAUCCAAACUUUACAGACUUUAGGUUCCCACAAAUCAAAGCUCAUCCAUGGCAUAAGGUAUUUUAUAUGCAUGUUACGUUCUAACUUUUCUGAUCAUACAAUAGCUUAGUAGAAAAAUGAAAAGCUGAAACAAUACACAUACUACUUUAUGACCUCCAGGUUUUCUAAUAAGCGGAUGCCUCCAGAAGACAUUGACCUUGCAUCUCGGCUUCUUCAACAUUCAUCGAGCCUACGUUGCACUGCGGUCAGUAUCUCUAAACGACCAAGUAUUCUUAGUUGUUAGAGUGGUUCUCUCUGUUUGGACCUGCACUGUUUAAUGAUGCUGGGGCUUUUUAACUGACAUGUGUUAUGUUUCCGUGUCUAAAAAGCUCGAAGCAUGUGCUCAUCCAUUUUUCAAUGAACUACGUGAGCCCAAUGCUCGUCUUCCAAACGACCGACCUCUACCACCGUUGUUCAACUUCAAACAAGAGGUACGUUAGUCCACUUUCCUUAAACCAACCAUUCUUAAACCAAACCAUAACAGAUGUUAAGUUCAAACAGUUUCUUAAUCUUGUAUCUCUCUCUGUUUAAAUGUUAAAACAGUUAUCUGGAGCUUCCCCAGAGCUUAUAAACAGGUUAGUCCUAGAGCAUGUUAGGUGACAGAUGAGUGCAGGUCCAAACAGAGAGAACCAGGUUAGUACUAGAGCACUGUUCAAGCUGGUCUGUAGAAACAACUUCGAAACCAAGAUGUUUUGUUCUGGGUAAAAAAACCCAUCAAGCAUUUGCUUUGGGCACUAGAAUUUCAAUUAUUUUAGAGGCCAUUUUGUAUAAAUAUGAGUUGGUUAAUAUGGUGUAGUGGUCUAUGAAAAAUGUGUUUAUUUGUCAUUGUGUUUGGCAUAUUUUAUUUUUAAUCAGCAUUAUAAUUAUAUUAUAGAAUUAGCUUUUCUGAAACAACUUAAAACAGAACAAAUGAAAUAAAAACUAUAAAACUCCAUUGUCCAUCUUACUGUUUACAUCUACUAUUCAAAAUGAAGAAAAUAACCUAUAUAUUCUUAGGGGAGGUAUUUGGGGAUAACACGUUUUUUAAUUUGGAUAACGACUGAUAGCAUUUGCAGAUUUUUGCAAGAAAAAAGAAGUUAAAUAUAUUUCUGAAUUGGGAAAAAGGUUUAAAACAUUCUCAAAAAAAAAAGAAAAGAAAAUAGUUAUAAAAAAACAGCAUAUAUGUAUUUCCAUUCAUAGACGAUUCUUUACCUAUCUUGCGUGGUGAAAAAAUAAUACUCAUAUUUUUGUCUAUGUUUGGUGUUGAAGAGAUUUUCCAAUAAUCUAUUAUAAAAGAUAAACUUACUUUUACGGAAGAAAAUUUAGGAAAAAAAUCUAUAUAUACAUUGUUCACUCGAGCUAAAACUAUGGAAACUAUAAUGAAGAAUUCAACAAAAUCAUGAUUCUUUCUAGUAAUGAUGAAACUUAUUACAAAUAAGAAAGAGUACAAAUAUAUGUAAUUCCAGCUUAUAAUGAACUUGCUCACUAUUUAGCAAAAAAAACUUUUUCCAACAAUGUUUUCUAUUCUAGUUUUAUUUAUCUCCCUAUCUGGUUAAGCCCUCUACUUCAUUGUAUAUUCUUCACUUUCUGAUCAAUAUAUAUGCUUCUUGUACAGUUACAUGUAAUCCCAGUUUCCCACUCCAAAACCAAACUUCUCCACAUAAGGUCAGCAAUCUGAAAUCUUAUAUAAACCAUCAUAGACAUAAACCUUAGAGCUAACACUGUUCUCGUACAUAAACCCUCUAAUCACCCGUACCUCAAUAUCAUGGUACACUAAAUUCCCACUUUCUAGAGCUUCUAAUGUUGAAUCUGCCUGUGGAGCUUAUCUUGACCACCAUGACCUGUAUAAACCAGAACAUCUCUAUGUGUCUUCAUCAUCCUCGUAAUUACCUGAGACGACAAUGCUGGUGGCUAUGGGUUCAUCUCCUGUGUAAGCCCACCGAGCACAGUUCAUGACGGGCAAAGAAUUUGUUGUUAAUCACGAUUACAGCUUGUAAACUUUUUCAGGUUCCGUUCUCGGCACAAGUAGUACAAGUUGUGAAUAUUCUUUAAUCUAGAAUGAGACUGGAACACCUUAACUCCACAGCCUCUUAAUCCUAUGUGCACAAGAUUCGAUACGCAAUUACGUUAGCCUGUCACAUGUCGACGUUAUUAACUAUCAUAUUAGAAUUUAGCCAGGUUAUUCUAAUCUGGAAAUUUUUCGUAAUAUAUGAGUGUUGAUGCGGACCAUCUGAAAAUGUCUAUUUAAUCCCAUGUGGACGUCACACNNNNNNNNNNNNNNNNNNNNNNNNNNNNNNNNNNNNNNNNNNNNNNNNNNNNNNNNNNNNNNNNNNNNNNNNNNNNNNNNNNNNNNNNNNNNNNNNNNNNAUGAACUGUGCUCUCAGUGGGCUUACACAGCCAGCUACAACGUAGCUCCAAAGGUGAACUGAUGGCCACCAGAAUUGUGGUCUCAGGUAAUUUGAGGAUGAUGAAGACGUAUGUGGCUUGUUACAUUAGUCCCAGCAAAGAACCAAAUGUGAAGGCGCAUUUGGAGCUGUGUAAGCUAAAGCAUCCAGGAGAGAACUAUCUCGGUAAUAUUAGAGUGAUGAGAGUUUAGGAUUGGAAGAAUUGUAUUGAAUGUACAUAGUAGCUACAUUUAUAUAGAGAAUGAAUUAACCUAAUAAUCUAACUAAUAAACUCAUAUAAAGAUAUUUACAAAUCUCUAGAAUAUAUUCACAAUAUCUUCUUUUAUCAUAUGGAUCUUCUAGAUCCUUCUAUACGCCCCCUCAAGCUCAAUGUGUGAUGGAGCGAAGCGGAAUCAAUGGUUUGAGAUUGACUUCAGAUUGAUCAAGUAAGAGCUGGUGUAUUCUUUGGACUUUGUGGAAGACGUUGAAUGCACGUGCUGAACAAGCGGAUGGGAGGACAACAAACCAUGACAACGAGGCGACAAAGAUGCAAGAGAGAUGCGAUAUGAUUGCGGUGAAAGCCUCAAUAGCAUGAAGAACGGUGUUGACCAUGGCGGUUUUGAGCCAGUGGGAUGUGGCAGUGGAAACUGUGCUUGGGUGGAGAUAGGCUCGUGACUUAGUUUCUUGAGGAAGAAGAAAUAGAGUUUAUUUUCUUCCUUUUUAUGUUUUUUUUUAAUUUUUUUUAUUGAAAGAACACGAUGAAAACUUUUUUUAUAUAUAUGACUGAAAUCAAAAAUCAAAAAUUGGAACGAAAACUUGUAGAACAUGUUUUUUUUAAUAGAAUAAAAAAUACAACGAGAAACCAAAAAGAAAAAAAAAUAUAUAUAAAAUAUCUAAUUUUUAUUUUCUUUUGAAUGUAUCAAACCUAAUUAGAACGUAGAAAAAUAAAACCAACGCAGCCACUUAUUAUUUAUUUUUUUGUGAAUAAGAAAAAGAGACAGAUAGAGAUGGGAAGGGGAAACAGAGAGGAAGUAGACCAGCCAUUUGUGUAAGAAGAAGCAAAUGACGGUGAAAAAGAAGAAAUGUAGAGAGAAAAAGGAGUUUGAUCGUUAGAUCUAUAACUCGGAAACACUCUGGCUUAGAUUCAGAGGUCCAUGAUAUAAUUAAAUUUUAGAAGCACUUGGCUUAAGAAAAAAAAUGAAAAAGAAGUUUGAUCACCAGAUCAAAACUUUGGAGCAAACCUGCUAUGAUACCAUAUUAGAGUGAUGAGAGUUUAUGAUUGGAAUAAUUGUAUAUUGACUCACAUUGAUUGAAUGUACAUAGUAGAUACAUUUAUAUAGAGAAUGAAUUAACCUAAUAAUCUAACUAAUAAAAUCAUAUAAAGAUAUUUACAAAUCUCUAGAAUAUAUUCACAAUAUCUUCUUUGAUCAUAUGGAUCUUCUAGAUCCUUCUAUAAUCCGAGCUAAGCUUGGACUAUGGGUCAGCAGAUGAACUGAACGGGAAGCUCUUAAUCUGUAACUGAGUAGCUUCUAUAGCUUGUUUCUGUAUUUUUCUAUGUCUUUACCGAGAUAGCUCUCCGGGAUGCUUUAGCUUGAGGCAUUUUCUCAAAUCAAUGUUCUUUCUACAUCUCUUAUCAUAGGAGUCUCAUUGUCUGUAUUCUCUCUCUCUCUGUUUUGCUCCUAUGGCAUUUCUUUCUUGCUUUAGCUUGGGGUAAUAUCUCAAAUCAAUGUUCUUGCUACUCUCCAUCUCUUAUCAUAGGAGUCUCAUUGUUUGUACCAUUUGCUAGUUCACAUGCCAAAGUCUUACCGUUUUAGAGUUUUCCUUAAAUGCAAUCAAUUUUGUAUUCUCUCUCUCUCUCUGUUUUGCUCCUAUGGCAUUAAUCUGUUGCAACAAUGAUGCAGAUGGAGAAUACUUUGACAAAUUAACAUAAACCUUUCUCUGUUAGUUCGCUGUUCUGUUUUUCCUUCUCUCUUCGAUAUCUGCAAGGCAAGAUAAAUGUUUUUUCUACAUCUCUUAUUAUAGGAGUCUCAUUGUCUGUACUUGCAUGCUCACAUGCCAAAGUCUUGCCAUAUUUGAGUAUUUCCGAAAUUUGUUUUGUUGCUAAAUUAAACCAAUCACAUGAUUCAGUGAAGAAUUAAGGUAGAUUCCAUUUUAUAAACCAGACCAAUUUAUUGUGAUAGAUAAUACAUAUUUGGAAAGUUACAAAUAAAAGAAAUGAAAAUUGCCCCAAGAAAAAAAGAAGAAGAAAUGAAAUAUCUAUCACACUACAACAAGACAUGUUUGGACCACACACAAACUCAAGUGUAAUUUAAUCGUGUGUGAUAACUAACAUCUUUUUAAUUAUUUUUGCUUUUACAUUUGAUCUAUAUUGUGUGGUAUCAACCAAAUGUUUUAUUUGUUUUACAAAAACCGAUAUGAGUCUCUUCCAAAAUUUCAUUCUACAUUUCAUAAUUCUUAUUGUAAAAGUUCACGAUAUCUAUUUUUUGUUUGUCAUUCAUUUUAAUUUCUAGGCUGAGCUCAAAUUUCUCGAAAAUUCUGUUGUAACAUUAUGGAGGCAGAAGCUAUAACUCUUUUUUGGAUCAUGACAUGUUUGGAUAAUCUUGGCUAUGAAGAGGUAAUUUUUGAGAAUGAUUCAAAGAUAUUGGUGAAAGCGGUAGCUGAACCUCGAGAAUGGCCAAGGUUCAUAGUUUAUACCAGAGAAAUUAACAUGACAAGUAAUAAAAUAAUUUGACCAACUAUCACUUUCCAAGCAAGGAAGACAAGCCAACCAAUGUGUUGAUCUUACAGCCAAUAAAACUUCUUCAUAUGAAGUUUUUUUUUUAAGUUCUUCAUAUGAAGUUCAUUAUGCAUUCUUGAUUAUAGUACUCUUUGGUUGAGAAGGAGAAACGGAUUUAUAUGAAAUAUGUUUGUGCUCGAAAAACAAAAAAAAUGUGGCAUCAUGUUAAAAUGAUGAUAAUUCUCCUAAAUGAACAACAACAAAAAAAAAUGGAUGAUAACUCCUCGAUUACUGGGUUUGAUUCUAUACUGUAUUACUUGUCGGUUAUAUAUUCUCAUUUCCAAUUAACUUUUCCAUUUUAUUAUAACAUAUUAUGACGUCAAAAAGAAAUUAUAACAUGGUGAAAUACAAACGAUAGAACUAUUUAAGUGGCAAUAAUAAGAUGAUGUAAGAAUCUGAUCUGAUACUACAGCAAAUAGAUAUUUGUGCUUGGGUAUGCCUAGAUAUUAUAAGCAAGUUGGUCAUAAAUACAAAUACGUUCUGAAAAUGUACCAAAGAGAUAUCUAGCAACCUCCUCCACCACCACCACCGCCACAACCUCCUCCUCCACCACAACCUCCUCUACCACCACAACCUCCUCUACCACCACAACCGCCUCCACCGCCAGACGCUCCAAAAAUAUAUGGUCUAUGUUUCGUCUCAUUUUUUUCAGAUUUUUUUUCACCGGUGCAAACAAAUACGGCCAUGGCUAUUACGGAGAAGGUGGCUGCAACCACCAAUAUCCCACAAACUAAACCAAAGCCACUGGUUCGAACGUCGCUCAAUAUGCUUCUCACCAUAUUCUCUUGUGUAUAUUUUGGUUAAGUUUGAGACUUUGGAUUCGGUUUUGGUAAGGAUUUAUAUAUGCUUUUGGAUGUGUGAGAAAUAAAAAGCAUUAUUUGUAGGUAAUUCUUUAAUGGACAAUGUUGGCUUACCGCGUACGUUAGGUGUGUCGGUGUGUGGUUACGUAAGAGUAAUACGUAAAAAUCUACAAGUUUCUUUGAUGUCAUGUAAGAAAAUUUUGGUUUAUAUGAGGUGGCUACUUUUCAACGUGCUUAGAUUUGGUUCAAUAUAAGCGAUGCUUAAAAGUCUUAUGAUAAGGUCCCUCUGGCUACUUUUCAACGUGCUUUAACAUUUGGUUCUAUAUGAGGGAUGCUUAAUAGUCUUAUGAUAAGGUCCCUGGACUUUCAUGGAUGGUCGUAAUCCAUACCUUGGAAUAUUUUGUUUACUAAUUCAUUAUUUGGUUUUGAAAAUUUGAAACAAAUUUAUAUUAGAUUCUGCAUUUACUUGAUAUUUUUAUGUAUAGACCUUUGUGGAACCAACCCAUUUAUUUGGGGAGGUUAAUAUAAUUGUUAGAUUAUCAGCAUGUUCUAUCUGUCAUUUAACUAGAUAUAGAUUGGUUAGUAAAGUAAAUCAGUCAUAAUCGGCUAAGACCUAAGGUCAAUUCAUUUUCUAAAAUCAAAAACAUUUAUUAUGAUAGAUAUUUGGCUAGUGGUAUAUGCUCGUACUCAUAAAAUAAUCGAAUGAUGUUUGUAUACAUGCAAGUCGUCCUCAUUUAAUUUUCUAAACCAAAACCAUAUAUGAUCAACGAGAUUUUGGUUUGUAUAUGCUGAGUCGCUAAUCGUACGUAUUCGUAGUUAAGUAAAACCAAAGACACUCACCAAAGACCAAGAGAUAUCUCACUAGCAACCUCCUCAACCACCACAUCCGCCUCCACCAAUGCAACCGCCACAGCUACCCGAAUCCUUCUUCUUUUUCUUCUUUUUGGAGCAAAGCAAAGACCACCAUGGAUACAAGUGAUAAAGACAGAAGAAUCAUGAAGAUCAAGAACAAAACAUCCCUAAAAGGCCAAAAGCAGUAGCUUCUUUCAUAUCUAUCUACCUGAUGAAGAAACCUUUUAAAUUUUUUUUUUCUUUUUACUUUCUCUAUAAACAUUUGAUCCUUCCAUGACACUAAAAGUAGUUGAAAUUUGAAUUUAUUACACCAAUAUAUUGUUGCAAUCUAGUCAAGGUAUUCAAUUCAAUUCUGCAGUUUUCAGGUUUCCUUUCUAGUGCUCUCUCUACAUUUCAAAAACAUAAUUACAGAAGAACAAAAAAUAUUCUAAUAGUAAAGAAUAAAGAAGGGAAAAGAAGCAGUGUCACGUGGAAUUAUGGAGUAUUAUUGCCACAAAAUCUCUGUUAACAUGAGCUGUACAUCACUUCAACAAGAAACCCCCACCACAAGUGACAGACAACAUUUGAGACAAUUAUCUCCAUAGCUUUCUCUUUUUAGGAACCUUUUAAUUCAGAUUUACACAAAUAAUUAAAGAGAAAACUUGGAAGAUGAGUUAAAAAAAAAAAAAAAAAAAAAAACCAAACAUUAUUGGCAGAGCCUUUUAUUGUUGAAAUUUACAAGUUUUUGGUGUGGAAAAUUUACAGUCUCUGCAUUACCUCCGGUAAGAAUUUUUUUUGUCUUGCUAUGACUCUGGUAUAGGGUUGAGUGUCUCCUGAAAGACCAAAACAUGUUCAACAAGUAAGCUAAUCAAUUUGCAAAAGAAAAAACAUUCGGCCAAGCAAUAAAUUUGUAAAUUAAGACACAUUUGUUUACCUUCGAGAAGCAUACAAACCCUUGCUGUGUGUUGGAGGUUUUAACCAUAGUUUCCCACUUGGGAUUUGCUUGAAUCUUGGUAACGUGAUUAUUAUUUUCUGUGCCAAGAGACUGUAACCAUGUGAAUGAGUUUUUCUUUGAUGGGAUUGUUGGUAAGGUACGCUUUAACCAAGAAUCUGAAGGAGCUUUUGGUAAUGGUGGUGGAGGAACAAUGUGAUAAGUUGAACGAUGAUGAAGCCUGGAACUUUCAAGAUUUGUAGUGUUUCUCUGCAAUUGGGCUUCAAGAUCAAUCUUCUCCUUUGUAAUCUCUUCUACCACAAUGGAUUUUGGCAGUGCAACAACAAUAGCGUGAUCAGGACAUUCUUCAACUUUUAGACUUGAGAAUUCAGUAGUAUCCUCAUCUCUUUUAACAUAUAUUUUCUCUUCUUCCCCAGCUCCAAUCAAGCUCUGAGCAUCUUCUUUAACAGGAACAACAUCUACUGAAGGAUAAUCUUUUAGUAAAGAUUCCUCCUUGAACUCUUCUUGCACCUUCUUGUCUACUGAAUGCACAGUGUCUACAUACAGAGUUUUCUCGGCCACAGGAGCCUCCAAUGAAGGCUUCCAUGUAGUAUCAUCACUAGCCAAAAGCUCACCAAAGUUUUUGCUGAUUUUAGUGCGUGAAGCUGCGCUCUCUUUUCUUUCUGGAGUAGAAGAUACUGGAAAUGAAGGCCCUUGUGCAACUGAUCCAUUUAGCUUCAGCUUCCUCUUAUCUUCAUUCACAGUUUCAUUGGUUUGCUAUGAAGAGAAAAAGAAGGAAAUUUAAUCAGAAAAAACAAAAAAAAAAAUACUUUCAGUGAGAUGAUGAACAAAGACGGUGAGAAGGAGAAAGUAAACAAUUCACCUUGUUCUGAAUUUCAUUACAAGGAGUAGAAUCUUGAUACUUAGAACGCAUACGGCGAACAGAAACAGCUCUUUGUGCCUGCAUUCUCACAGAUGGAACCAAAUUCAAUACUCCAAAAGAGCUUCUCAAGCAUAUCUGAGGUACUAAUCCACAAACACCAGAACCCAUGCUGCUCGUGUUUUUUCCCACUUCCUCUUGUUGGAAUCGAUAUGGAUUCUGCUCGGCUUUGUUCUGUUUCUCUUUUACCAACACU